rnacentral:lncRNA from 1 species
AAAAAAAACACUGAAAGUGCUUCUAGCUGGAUGCGUUUUCAGUUACUGUGGUAGGAAAACGCGUCCUUUGAGGUGUUUUCAAUGAUUUUUUUACAUGCACUGAAAAAAAUCCUACAUGGAGCAUGUUCUCUCUAGAAAUUUCAACUCUCACUAGCCUGAGAAAAAUUUCUGAAUCAAUUGGCCUUCUUCAAUAAAUGCAAUCUAUUUCAACAUUGAGUGGCAUAAGGCAUUUACGAGCAAAGAAAAUUGAAAGACGAUCAUAAGAAGAGAAGUUUUCACAUAAGACUUAAUUUGGAGCUACCAUGCAAUUUGUUUGAAGUAAAGACCAUUUUUUGUUAUUCAUAUUUAUUUACAACACUAUUUCUCUACAUGAUGUUUGUGUUUUGAACAUGUGCAAUAGGUUAUUUUAUUGAAAAUGAGUGGAUGAAUUAAUUUUAUUGUUUAUUAUGACGGUGAAGUGCAUGACACCGAGAGCGGGGUCGUUUUUUAUCAGAGAACACAACUCGGUUGGCUUUUAAUCAGAACAUACAAUUGCCAGAACUUCAGACAAAAAUUAAGCGAAAAAGUGUCAAAUCCAACCAGAUGAGAGUAUCAUCCUUUAAAUAUUGAAUUUGUGCUUCGGUCGACCCCGUCAUAUAUGAUGCCUUCGAUAUCAGAGUUGUGAGGGGGUUGGAGGCGAUGAUGCAAACGUAUUUUGACAGUGGAUUACCAUUUCUCGAGUUGGUGCAAGGAUAGAUGAAGGCCCUCGAAGGUCAACAUAUGUUCCUAUUUGAGAGGUCAAAAUGGAAGAACAAGCCAAGAGUCCAACUACACAGUUGUGUGGUGGGUUCAUCGCUUUAUUAGAAUGUUUCGAUUAUAAUAUCCCAAAAUAAUUAAUGGGAAAACACUCAUUUGUUUUGGCCCUAGAUGUUAACAGCGACAGUGGGUACACCGAAAAGUCGAGGUUUGGUGGUAACACAAAAUAUUGGACCCAUACACGACACUCAGUUGGUGGUUUUGAUUUGAACUUCGGUCAGCCGAUGUUCAACGCUGGGAAAACUUAUAGGGAAUGACAUUAAGUGCCAGUGGUUGGCAAUCAAUAGUUGAUUUUUAUUGUUUCGAAAACCAUACAAGAAAUGAUUUACUCCCUACGACAUUCACUGACGAGGGGAUAACAAACCCUGGAGAUAUUGGUUGGGUUGAGAAUGAAGAGGGCACUGAAUCCGAUGCCAAUCCAACCGGGGAGCCUGGUGCCGAUGGAUCAUAAAUUGCAUUAUUUUUUAAAUCGGAGCUGGUUCCAACUGAACCAAAAGAUGGAGGUUCAGACUGUGAAGGUUCAAGUGAAGAUGCCGAAGAAGAUCCACGGUUCAGGGCGUACUCACCUCUAACCCACAUGCAUAAUGUGGACAUAUCAGCAGAACAUGAGUUGGAGUUUGCAAAACUACCACACAGAAGAUCGAGUCAUAUGAGUUCUUUGUUAGAUUUAGAUGAUUUAAAAGUAGGGAAGGAGUUUUCCUCUAAAUAUGGUUUUGUCAUUGAAAUGAAGCGAUACAACAUCAAGAACGGGGUAAACUUCUAUGUUGUUAAGUCUCGAUUUGACAAAUUCAAGGCGAAGUGCAAAAUGUGAGACAACAGAUAUGCGUGGAAAAUCGUGGCUUCUUCUAAGAAGAAGAUGGGGUUAUGUACCAUAAAGAAAUAUAAAACUUUGCAUACGUGUAUUGCCGCGGGUACUGCAUCAAGACUGUUUUGUAUUACAACGAUCGAUGAAUUGCUUAAUUUAAUGUAUUUGUGUUGUUGCAGGAAUUUUACGGGAUUAUUCAAAAUUGGAUUCGAAUAUGAUCGCAAACAUAAUACUACUUACGGUCGAAGUGAGUCCUACGAUUGUUGUGUCAAUUUUAAUUGUAAAUAUUCGUAACUAGUUCGGUUACACGUCAUUGUAUCACGAGUGGAUCACAAAGUAGAAGGCAUUAGAGAAUACGCAUAAUAGGUAGGACACGUCGUAUAACGAUUUAUGCUAGUGGUGUAGGGUCUUGGAGAGGUACGUUCCAGGUUGCGUAACCAAUCUCGAAAUGAUGCAUGCGUACUACAACGAUUUGUUGCUCUGUGGAUGCCAAGUGUUCCAUAUUUUCUUUUGGAAUUUCAAGUAAUGUCGACAGACAUUCUAGUACUGUAAGCUAUUGGUACAAAUUGAUAGUACCUUUAUGCAUGAGAGAUACACCUAUCGGUUGUUGUUGGCUAUGUCAUAGGACGACAAUUGAAAAAUCUUGUCAAUUGCCUUCACAAUAACAUCGGAAGAGUCAAUAGACGAUUGAGAUUUCUUCUAAUCUAGGUUGAGAUGACAUGUUUGCCCCCAACCCGAUAUAUGCGUCAUCUCCAAUAGGGGACCUAGAAUACUUGUCGCAAUUGAACGGCAAGGAAACUUUUAGGACCGCGCACACUAUAGUUAUUGUCUAAGACAUGUUACAGUGAACUACCACAAAUAGUACAAUUCUGCAGCUCAGUGUGCACAAGUGAUCAAUAUAGGUAUGUAUUUGCCACUAUUAACUAUUUGAUAUUUAACUGGUCAACAGAUGUUGUGACUAAUGGAUAACCUAUUUACUUUCUAAAUAGGGUACGAGCUCAUCUGACAUCGUUUCUACGAAAUGUCGAAAAAUUUGUGAGCCAUUAACGAUGCAGGUACAAGCUACCUAUCCAACAUACCCUUCGAUUGGUGGAUACAAUCAUAUGACGGGGGUCUACGAUAGGCACACGAUUACAAACCUAGCGAAAUGCAUCAAUUCCGUCUUGAAGGGAAUGCGUCAUUUGUUAAUAACCUCAGUUGUCAAAGAAACAUAUUUCUGUUUGACUAAAAUUUUUCCAAAGUUAGUGGUGAAAUAUGUUAGAUAGAUGUAGGGUGACCGCAUUUGGAGCAAGGAUGUACUGAAAGAAAUUAGGAAGGCUACAACACGAGCGAAUUGUAUGCAUCUAGUGUGUCACUCCCGCGAAGACCUAUUGUUUCAGGUCACAGAGUUUGGCAGAUGAAACCAAGGUACUAUUGGGGGAGUGUAUCGUGUAGACUUGAGACAAUGGACUUGCGAUUGUGAGAGAUUUGACGCACUUCAUUUUUCAUACGCUCAUGCAAUUACAGCAUGUAGCAAUCAACGCUUGGAUCACAUGAGCUUUGUGAAAAAAGUGUACAAACUAGAACAUAUGUAUAACGUGUGGAGAAACGUAUUCCCACUGUUCCUAAAUGAACGUAUGUGGUCGCCUGUAUCGAGCGCUCUAUUCAAGUUUUUACCUGAUAGAUUAUCUUGUCGAAAACUAAAAGAUCGACUGACACCGACUCGGAUACGCGACAACAUAGACAUUCGGGAGAAGUCAAACCAAUUGAUGUUAUGCAGGUGGUAUAGGAACCUAGGGCAUACAAUGUCGUCAUGUCCAAAAUGACAGGAUGAUAUAAAAACAACAUUUCAUUAACAUAUUUAUUAAAAUUUUCUAUUCAUUUACAAAUUUUGGUGUUAUUUGUAAACACGUGUUUUUAUUAUACCAUACAAAUAAUAAAAUGCAACAUUGUUCCAUUAUUCUUGUACGUCGACAUUUUAAUAAUAUGAAAUGAUAACGUCAAAAACGAUAAUUAUUUAAAAAACAUAAGACUGUCCAACAUCAAUACAAUAAAAACAUUUCUUAUUUAUUUAAAAAUUUUACAUAACAAGUACAAAAAUAAAAUAAAUCAAUUCAAUCCCCGGUCAAAAUGUGUGCCACAUCGGAGUGGUUGACAAUUGCGAGCCAGAUUCCUUCCUGGUUUAACCUUUGGUAUAGGUUGUGGUCUCGACUUUUCAUCUUCUUCACCUUCGCCCAUAAUUGAUUGCAAUCAGUUGGUCAUCGGUUGCCGUCGUGUAUCCUCCGGUCUAGGAAUAGGUGAUUGCAAAUAUGUUCCACCUUGGUAGAAUAAUGAUCCCGAAGGUGUUUGCGCACCAUCUGCGUAAUCGUAUAAUUAUAUUGUGUCCCAUACACCGAUGGCACAUCGAUUGAACUCCAGAUCGGUUCCCAAACAUGGAUGACCUUUACGUCAUCGUCGACAUCAUGGUCGUCGAAAAUGUCGAUUACACCGACAUGUAAUAUGUUAGGGAUGAAGGUUCAUAAGCAAAACCUAGUAUCCAAGUAGAAGCACAAAAAUGUGGUGCAAUGUGUGGUGCUUAUGUAAAAAAGAAGGGGUUAGUAUAAAGACCAGAAUAAAUUGAGUCAUACUAAUUGAGGGGUGGUGCAAUCAGCAAUGUCGGUUCUUAUGUAGGUAGAGACAAUGGACCCACCUCGAUAGCACCAUCGUGGCCUUCUCGUAUGGCUUGGCUUGCCCCUUGCCUCUUAACUUAGCAUAUAUGGCUUGCCAUGAACCCUAAACCAUGACAUAUACUCCGGAUAGCAGGCUAACUCAAAAGCGACAAUGACCUCGCGAGUAAGUAAAAAUUGGUACUUAUUGUUCCAGAUGUUGAUUUAUUGCAUGUGGAAUGUAACACCCCUAACCCGUAUCUGUCGUAUAUUAGGGUUACGAGGUAUUACUGAACAGAUCACAACUUAUAACAGGCAUUCAUUACAAUUCAUGUUUCGUAAAUUAACCACAUCAAUACAUUUAUCCCAUUCAAAUUUCGAAGCUUAAAGCUCCUAAAUUCAUCUCAUUUGCUUUUUAAAAAAAUAUAUAUUAUCUAAGCUUAUAUUAUUAUAAAACUUAUACCAUACAAAUUAUACUACUAUACAAUAUCAGACAGCAUAUAGACCUAACAUAUUCGGCCUAAACAACCUCAACAAGUGGCCAAGUAUGAAAUUUUAAUCAUCAUAGUCUUACACUCAAUUUACCUAAUUAAUAUAAACCAAUUUAUAACACGUACUACAAAUCACAGUAUACUUCAUUUACAAAUUCCAUAAUCAAGUCAUACCAUAUAUAUAACCAUUACAGUAAGGCCAAAUAUACCACUUCACUCAUAUUGAAACAUAUCAUACCCACACGAACCUAUUCAUAGUAAACCAACCUUAAGUGGUUAUAUUACUAGUUUAUACAUUUAUUUUCACUACUGAAUAUCUGAAUUUGCAUACACAUUAUAUACUAACUCACAAACUAUUUCCAAGAUAAUUAUACCUUAGAUUAUAACACCAAAUCAUACAUUUUUCUCAUUACAAUUUUAUGUGCAAGAGACCAUGCUAUUUUGAACCAUUUCGAAUAUAUAUAUAAUACCUUAAGUACACUUAAAUCACAUACUUAAAACUUUCAUACACAUAGCCAAUCCCUUAACCACAUAUUCGAUCAUCACAAUUAACCUCCAAAAAUAAAUCAUGUCAAUUUCAUCAUGAACUAUACCUAAAAAUUCAUUUAUCGAAACCUAUAUAAUAUAUUCAUGGUUAUCCAUUACAUAUCUAUCAUUACUACAUUACUAAGCUAAAUUAUACAACUAUCCACCAUUCAAAAAUUAUUUUCACAUCUCAUACAUAUAUAUAUACAUAUAUACCGAUAACCUAUUUUCAUAAUAGGUUCAAACUCUGACCAUAAUGCACAAGCUUAAACAUUAUAAAAAAUCUAUAUAAUCAAAUACCAUACAUAUAUAAAUACCAUGAAAUAUAUUUUCAUAAUAUACUAUUACCAUAAUCGAACACAUAAGUAUUAAUAUCAAGAUUAAGCCAUUUUCGCAUGGCUAAUUAUAUGUACACACUUUAUGACUAAACAAGACAAAUACUAGCCUAUACAUGCCAUAUGUUCAAAAAUUCAAAUUUUCAAAAUACCGAGAUAGAGAUCGAUAGUGUGACGGACUUUCUUGACGACUCCCGAGCUCGUAACAAGAUUCCAAAAUCUAUAAAACAAUGAAUGAACAAGCACACAGUAAGCUUAAAUAGCUUAGUAAGUUGUAAGCACAUAAUUUUCAAAAAACUUAUAAAAAAUUACACCGAUAGGCCGAAUUCUACCAUUCAGGUACACAUAAAUAUAAAAUCAUUUUCAUACGAUUAAUUCAUCUUUUCAUGUUAUAUAUAUACUACCUACCUUUACUUUCAAUUUUGUAUAACUUAAACAUACCUGAAUUGUUUAACUCAAACUCACAUUCAGUUUUACCAUAUGGUUUCCUGUUAUACCUUUCAGAUUCAGAGAAAUGAUACUCGAUCGACUCAAAAAGCUCGUACAAUGCCAACGUCCUAGACGUGGUCUUACAUGUAAUCAAACAACAAUGCCACUGUCCCAGACAGGGUCUUACACGUAAUCAUAUACGACGCCAAUGUCCCAGAUAUGGUCUUACACAAAAAUCUCAAAUUGAGGCUAACGUCCCAGACGUGGUCUUACACGAUGUCACAUUUCAGUAUUUCUGUAGUUCGUAUGACUUUUGAAUGUCAUAAAUCAAUCAAUUAAAAACUCGUAAUUAAUCAUCAUUUGUCAAAUACAAUUCGGCAUUAUAAGGUACACAUACACAUUUAGAUUCGGUUAUACAUAAAAUAAAUACAGUAAAUUUAACUUCAAUAAUUUACUUACGAACUUACCUCGGACGAAGACAAGCGGAUGGAAUCGACUACUUGACCACUUUCGACUUCCCCCGUUCUAAUUCUGUUUUCUUUUGUUAUUGAUCUAAAUAAAUUAAAAUUUAGCUAUUUAAUAACACAUUUCAUUCAAAUUUAUUCUAAAAAUACAUAAAUGGGCAAAUUGUAAUUUAACCCCUAACAUUUCACAAUUUUCACAAUUUAGUCCUUAUUUCACAAAACACAAAAUAUUCAAAAUUUGACAACAUCAUAGCUUGGCUGAAUAUUCCUUUAGCUCAUAUAGGCCCACAUAUUUCAUUUGUUUCACAUUUUAUCCCCUCAAUUUCUCAUUUUUACAAUUAAAUCCCUAAUUUGAAUUUUUAUCAAAAAUUACUUAACAAAAUUUAAUAAUCUAUCAACAAAUAUUUAUUUUUCAUCAUUAAGCAACAAAAACAUCAAGCUAUCAUCAAUGAUAACUCACAAAUUUAUCAACCAAUUCAAAAAUUAACACACGGACUACCUAGAAUACGAAGCAACGAUCUCAAAAAUGUAAAAAUUAUUAAAAAUCGAACAAGAAACAUACCAAAUUUUUGGCUCCAAAGUGCCGAAUACUUGAAAGCUCAAGAGCUUAUUUCCUUUCUCAACUUUCAGUCAAAUAAAAUGAACAUGCAUGGCCUUUUUUUAUGUUUUAUUUUAUUUAAUUUAAUGUUAUUAACCUUUUUUACUAUUUUAACCUAAAUAAAACAAUAAUUUAAGUCAUUUGAAUCAUGGACAUAAAUGCCCACUAAAUUUUUAAUGGCACAAUAACCUUUUAAGGACUUCUCAUAAAUCAAAUCAUAACAAAUUAGCAUAUUAACAAUAAGAAUGCCACUUUUACUUUUUAUGCGAUUUAGCCCUUUUCACAAAUUAAGCACACAAACGGAUAAAUUAAAUCAUGAAAAUUUCACACAUAUCAAUUCACAUACUAUAAGCACGGAAAAUAAUAUUAAAAUAUUUUUCUGACUCAGAUUUGUGGUCCCGAAACCACUGUCCGACUAGGGUCUAAACUGGGCUGUUACAUGGAAUGUAAUCCAAUUCUCAUCCGUCCUCCCCCGCAAGUCGACAUGAUGCAGAUCUUCGAUGUCUUGGGGUGUCAUUGGAAUCAAUUGCCUGAAGCUGAAUUGCCGCAACACUCUACCCGACUCAUGUAUCUCCACGGUAGCGUACAUUACCAAUGGCACAUUCACGUGCCAGAUUUUGGGAUUGACUAAGAAUUUUGAUGGGAUGCAUUCUUGAAUUGUCGAACCGGAGUAAUGUAUUCAUUCAAACUAUAUUAAAAUAAUAAAAAAUCAGUUAUCUAUAUACUACUAAUUCUUAAAUGAACUAUGUUAAUAUUAUAUAAUUCAAAUUUAAAAAAAUACAUACAUUCGCUUCCGAUCAUUGGUCUAAUAGAAACUAUAUAUCUCGAAGCUCAUCAGGUAGUCCCACGUAACUCAGCCCAUGGUUCCACCUAUUGAAAUAAUAUGUUAACACAACAAUUUAAAUUUUAAAUAAUUUUAUUAUGGUAAAUAUAUUAUCUAAUGAAAUUUACCUUGUUAUGAGUGGGAGUGUAUAAGGGUAGUCUGCUUGAGGAUGUAAAAAUUGCAGUCGAUACCGCACCCAUGAUUGUUGUAGAAGCAUGCAACCAUUGAUUUUGAUUUUAUGGUUCGGUCCCCCGACACAUCUCCCUGUACAACGUUACCAACACGACUGACCCCUAGUUGAGUUUGCUCGCUUCUUUCAAGUUGAAAAGUUUUAGAAGUCACGUUAAAUGGAUGAGAUUUCGUGACUUAUCGGGCAUUAGGAGACCCCCGAUAAUCAUAAGGAUGUAUGCCAUAAGGAUGUACGCCCAAGCGUGUUGUACCCUUUGGACUUUAUUCGAAUCCUCAUCGAGCCCGUUGAAAUUUCGUCUUAGCCAAUUCAUAUCUAUCCGGGCUCUAUAAAUGGUCUCCAAAACCCGCUCCAAAAGUUUCUCACAUUCAACUCUCCAAUUAGCUGCGUGAACUGACCCAGUAACUAUCGGCCCAUCCACCGGUAACCAGAGCUGUAACUACACAUCCUCUAAAGUGAUAGUGCACUCGUCGCAUGGAAGAUGGAAUGUGUACAUCUCAGGUUUUCAUCUUUCCACCAACGUGCUUACAAUGUGGGCUCCAAUUUACACCCGAAGGGCGACGUGCAAAAAUUCAGCUUCUUUUAAGUGUGGUUCGAUUACAAGUGAUGAAAGAGCAAGUAAAUUACGAAUAUAAGUCUCCAAAAUUUAAUCUUUCACCUAUAUAUAAAAAACAUACAAAUAUUAAAUUUCAAUAUAACAAUAAAAUAUUUAAAUUAAAUUACAUUAAAUAUAAUAAAAAAUUCUUACCAUUUCCAAUUGAUCGACAGAAAUGUGCUUAUUAUCAAAAUAGAUUAGAGAUUGUGUCAUUGUUAAUUUUGGAAAACACAAAAUAAAUUGUAAUAUAAAAAAUAUUUUACGAAAACAUUAAGACAAUUGCUUUAAAAAAUAGAGUUGAGAAAGAAAUAAUUUUUUAGUGAGAAAUUAUGAGAGAAUUGAGAGAAAUUUAAGAGAGAUUUUUAGAAUGUGAGAGAGAGUUGAGAUUGAAUUAAAGAAAAAAAUGAAAUGGUGGGUUAUAUAAAAAAUGGUAUAUGAUCGUUAGGGAGUGGGGAAUGCUUCCAACUGGAAGUGUUUUCCUACAAAUACGUUAAAAACGCUUCCAGCUAGAAGUGCUUUUCUGCAUAUCACUUGAAAACAUUUCUAGUUGGAAGCGUUUUCAUAAAAUCAGCAUAUUCCCAUAAUUUUUCAAGAAAAUGGUCUAAUCUCGUAAAUUUUUUUUAAAAAAAUUGCCAUUUUAAGUAAUUUAUUCUGGAAAAACAGCUGGUGGAUCUCUAUUACAUAAAUAUACAUGUUUUGUGAUGUAAAAUACUUUUCAGAAGCCAAAAAUUCACAAAAUAAUAAUUGAAAGAUUAUGAGCUUCACAUAAAGAAAAUCCCUUCACUAUUGUUAUCUAUUUUGUGUUGAUAAUCUUUUAACAGUUAUUUCAACGUUUACCUCUGUUAAUAUUCACUAAAAGCAUCAAUUUAAUUGCUUGGUCCAAAAGGAGCUGUUGCUUAAAAUAAAGUAAAAGCUUACAUAACUUAAAUAUAUUAGUAUCAGCCACUAACAUAUGGUAUAUAGAUAUAGAUGCUUCUUAUAUAAAGAAUGAAGUAUCUACAUCAUUCAAGUUCACAUGAGAAAGAGAUGUUAAUAGCUCUUAACAACCAAGAUUGUUAUUUCAAUAUUUGGACAACCUAUGAAUCAAUUUAAAAUAUUGAGUUUUAUUUUCACCUCAUGUUUGAUCUCUCCCACAUAUUUUUUACUCUAUUAUCAUCUUACGAUUUUUGUAUCUUUUUCUUAAACUUUCUAUUUUGUUUCAAAUUAGUCCUGAAUCACUUCUAAUCUGUUUAGGGCCUCGAGGGCUCGAUUUAGGGACAUAAUGCAUAUUGUUGAAUGAAAUAUGAUAUAUUUAAUUUAGUUAAAUAUUAUGAUGUUAAAUGUUUUUGAUUGUACGGUAAUGUUCCGUAACCCUAAUCUAGCGGCGGAGAUAGGUAAGGGUGUUUCAAGUGGUCUUGAUUUUGCGGUCAUGAAUUUAUGACCAAAAUUGUAAUGAUGAUUUUGUAAUCCAAUUUUUGCACCCUCAAUUCUAUAACUCAAAUUUGUGGGUUUCUCUUAGCUUUAUCAACUAUAAAAUCCUGCUCUGUAACUCAAAUUAAGUUAUGCUUUUACAACUUCUUAUAAAUUCUAUAGCUUCCUACAACUUUCUAGUGAGCAAGUAGUAUGUUGGCUCCUCGAACUUCCUUCAACUUAUUUUAUGUUAUUUUUGGGUGAGAAUAAUGUAUAUUUUUUCCCCAAUUUUUUGUAUAUUUUCUUAUGUUAUUUUUGGUUAUACAUAUACUUCUUACAUUUACUUUUGCGUUUGUUUUGGGUGCACAUACUUUCCGCGACUUAUUGCAGCCUUUUUCAUUUUGGUUUUGGACUAAACAUGUCUAAGGGCCAAGUAGUCUGCUCAACUUUAUAGGCGCGACCCGACUUGGGCCAAGUUUGGACAAUAAUUUUUGUACGACAAGGUCGGGCCAACCCGAAUUCAAUUUAAAAAAUAAAAAAUAUUUUUAAUUUAAAUUUAAUUAUGAAAUAUAUAAAAUGUUAAUUAAAAAAUAUAUUGAAUAUUUUUUAACAAUAAAAUGGCUUUUUGAGUGGGUCGGGCUAGCCAGAAAAUGAAUCUGGGUAUGAAUUUUUUUUGGAAUUGGGCCUCGACCCAUGGAAAGCCCUAUUUUGGAUGCAUGCAUAUUGUAUUUUGACCAUAUUCUUGUAGUUCUGGUAGCUUUUAGCUGAUAGUAGCUUAAACAUUGGCUUCAUGUUGGCUGUCUCCACGUUCUCACAGUUUACUAUAGCUUCUUAUAGCUUAAUUAUGUUAUGUUAUAAUUUUGAGUGCAUAUUCCAUAUUCAUGUAACUUCUUACACACAUUACAACUUCUUUAUCCUUUAUAGCUUUGCUCUGCAGAUUUUGCUCUACAAAUUCCACUCUACAUCAUCACAAUUUUAUUCAUAGAUAUGUUAUGUUGCUUUAUUUCAUUUCUUUGGAACUCACUUCACAACCUUUGUAGUUCAACAUUGUAAAUUAAGUAUGUCUGUUUCUUAUCAUAAUGUUAUUUUGGUGCCCAUCUCUACUCUAUAGCCUCUACAACUUUGCAUUGUAAAUAUCUUAUGUGGUAUCUUCUAGCUCUAUGUAGUUCUUUACAGCUUCCUGUAACUUUUAUGGUCUUGUAACUUUUUACAAAUAUGUUAUAUUAGUUUCCUUUAGAUCAUUUUAGCUAUUGGAGCAUUUUCAAGUAUUUAUAGUGUUCUAAUAAGUAUAAAUGAAAGGAUGUAAUAUCUUUCGGUUAUUGAUCAGGAGUUAUAUCACUUGAUUUUUGACAAAGAAUUAGAACUGUACAAGUAAUAUUACUUGAAUAGUUAUGAGAUAUUAGUAGAAUAAUUAUGUCUCUUUUGAUGAUGUGGUUAUUCAGAAAAGAAAAAUUUUGAAAGUUAUGUCUCUAUAAAGAAACAUGAGAGUUCCUAUAAAUAGGAGUGAGAUUUCAUGUGAAAAACAUACUAAAAAAUUCUUAAAAAGUUCUUUUGAUCAUUCCUCCAUCUUCUACUAUUAUUAGAUUGUUCUAUAAAAACUUAUUGCAGAAUUUCUUUAUAGAAUUGAUUUUCUUGUUAUACUCUACUCAAUGCUUAAUGAAUUAUUUUUGUCCGUGCAAAACAUAAUAGUCAUCGGACUUCAUUGUAUCCUCGAGGUUCAUUUGCUUGAAAUUCAUUUGCAUACCGAAUAUAGGUGUAGGCAAAUAGAACCUUAAAGAUAGUGGCUUAAUGCAUGCCUUAGAGUCUUGUCCUAUUUCUUCAUUUUUCAGUUCAAGUUGUUGUUUGUAUUUUGUUCAUGUGUUCAAGGUUUUCCUCACCAAAGUUCUGCACUAACAUUAGCUUCUUGAAACUUUUCUUUUUGGCAUGUUGUUUGUGACUUUUAUAGCUUAUACUCUUACCUGCUUAUAAUUCUACAACUUAGAUUAUGUGGUGGUGAUUUUGCAACAUAGAUUUUGUGGCGACAAUUCUGUGACGAUGAUUUUGUGAAAACACAAUUUUUCAACUAUGUCUUUGUAGCUAUGAUUUUGCAAACCAAAUUUUAUAGACCCAAUGAUGCAAGCUUUAGAAUAACUUCAAUUUCUUUCAACUCAAGCACUAUUACCUUUCUGUAUCUUUAGCUUUUUUUCGUGUACUUAUAUGAUCUACUAUGCAACCUAUGCAUCUUUGUCCUAUAACAUUUACAUUCUACAACUUCUUCUCUCUUCAAUCAUCUUGCUUUCAAGUACAUACAUGUUAUAUUAGCUUUUACAACUCCUUACAAUUUCUUUCAUGUUAUUCUUGGGUACAUAUAUGCAUCGUAAAACUUUUACAACUUCUUGAAACUUGGCUCCACGGGUUAAAUUGGUGUUUUAUAGCUUACAAUCCUAUUCUACUUUUUUUCUUUAUAGAUCCCACUCUAUAGCAUAAAUUUCCACUCCACAAACGAAAAAAAUCUUACUUUACGCAACCUAAACAUUUGCUACAUGUAGCACAUGGAAACUUUAUGUUACAAAUUUGCUCGUAAACAAUAAAUACAUGCCUUGUGCAUAUCCAUAAAAUGCUUCCAUAACAAUAAUGCCAACAAUUUGGCUUCAAAAAAAUUUCCUUAAAAGAUGCAAAAAUCUUUCAAGGGAUACAAUUAUGCCAAACAAUUUCGUUUCCAUAGAAAUAUCCACAAAACUUUGUUAAGAAAAAUUCGUCAAAGGAUACUAUUAUACCAAACAAAUUGGGUUCUACAAAUGUACUCCAACCACAAAGCUAGAACUUAUACUUUGGCUUUUACAGUUGUCAUACCAAAUCAUUGAACUUGGUGCAAAAAAAUUCUUAUUUAUUAGUGUUGAGGCAUGUUUUAGAGUAGAGGCCAUUGCACUUAGCAUUAGCAGGCUUUAUAAGUUGACUUAUUUGUUGGAAUGUUUGAUAAAAAUAUAUUGGCUAUUUGCUUGCACCUUUUUUAGGGUUUGUGCAAACAAUCUUGUGUUUAUAAUUGGAGAAGAUAUUGAAUCAAGCAAUGUUAUUUUUCGAGGAUUCUUAUAUGAUAUACUUAACUUGCAUAUUGAGAUAUGCAAUCCAAGAUGAUAUGGGUUGACUUUAUGAAGAUUUAUCCUAAUCCUUUGUAUAUAUAAAGGGUAAUUAACUUGAAGAGAUUUGAUAGAUCAUGAUGGAUUAAAGUUUUCGUAGUGAAGUUAGAUUUGUGCUAUAAAUAUGGAAGCCUUGUUCAACCUCGAUAGAGGUUUUAUUGUUGAGGCAAGUAUGUUAGCAGUGGCUCACACAAUGUUAGUGAUAGUGGCCAUUGUUGUUAGCAUUGCAGCAGGCAACAUAACUUACCAUAUUUAAAGUUGGAAUUUUUUUAAACAAAAUCUUUGGGCUUUUGAAUGAUGCUUGUAAUGUGAAAGCAUCAAGCUCAAAUGUGAAAAUCAACCCACUUAAAGGAACUUAUGUAACACUGUUUACCCAGUCCGGUCUUCAAAUCCGAGCUACAGAAUGUUACUACAAUUAUUGAAACAUAUCACAUUAAAUGUAGGCUUAAAAAUUUGAUUAAACAAUAAAAUACUUCAUAGAUCACGUAACACCCCUAACCUAUAUCCGUCGCCUGAAUAGGGUUACGGAGCAUUACCCAACUUUACAGACCAAUUAUGAACAUUUUAUAUCAUUUAACACACAUAUUAGAGACCAAUCACAAUUCAUUCAUAUUUUCCUUUAUAUGAGCCCUUGUGGCCCAAAAUACACCUUAGAAUCAAGUUGAGACCAAACUGGAAACUCAGAGAAUUUUUCACAAAAUCUCAAAAUUUUACCUAGGUAUAGGGGACACAUGCCCGUGUGUUUCACAGGGUCGAGAGACACGUCCAUGUCUCAGGCCGUGUGAGUAUUUUAAGAAGAGGCACACGGCCGUGUCCCAAUCUGUGUCCAAAUUAGGGUGGCUACUGACUUGAGUCACACGGCCAAGCCACACGUCCGUGUGCUAGGUCGUGUGAGCAUACUGACUUCAAUAACUAAGGUGUAGUGUUCAAAUGGACAAGUCACACACCCAUGUGCUAGAACCAUGUGACAUACACGGCUGAGACACACCCGUGUCUCUACCCAUGUGAAAAUACCUGAGCAUUCUGUUUCUAAAAUUUAAAGAUGUAGGGGACACACGGUCAAACCACACGUCCGUGCACAUGACACUAGGGGUGAGCAUUCGAUCAAAUCGAAUUGAAUCGAAUCGAAAAUUUUCGAGUUAAUCGAGUUUUCAAAUCUCAUUUUAUCAUCCUAACUUUAUUUGAAGUUUUCUCGAAUCGAGUCGAGUGAGAUGGAAUUCGAAUCGAAUCGAAUAUAUUUGUUCGAGUUAAAUUUAAAAAAAUAAUUUUGGGUCCUUGUAACCAUUGUCAUCCAUCGUAAUAAAAUUUGUCCACAUUAAUCAAAUUUUUUAUUAACUUUCAUCACUUCAUAAUUUAUUUAUUAAUUUUUUAUAUAUUGAUUAGCUUCUUUGCUUGAUUAGUUGUUUCAAUUAUCUUCAGAUUCUUGUCACUAUGUAUUUUAGAAUUAAAAAAUAUAUUAAAUGUAAAAAUAUGAUUUUUAAUAAAAGUUAUUUUAAAAAUAAAAUGUGAAAUUAAUACCAAUAUAAAUUUUUAACACGAAUAUUUUAUGUCAUAAUUAAUAAUUCAAUUUUAAUAUAAAUAUUCACUAUGACUAAACAAUUCAAUAAUAUAAAUAAUAUAAAAUGUGAAAUUUAAUUUAAUAAUAUAAAUAGUAGAUAUAAAUAAAAUUAUUACUAUUUAUGUUUAGUGAUUUUUUUUGAUAAUUUUAAUUUUUUAUUUGAGAGUAAAGGGUGAGAAGUAAAAGUUUAGGGGAAAAAUAAAAAGUUUUGGGGAAUAAAAGUUUGAGGGAAAGUAAAUAGGGGGAAUAAAAUUUUGGAAGGAAAAUAUUAAAAAAAAAUUGGAGGGGGGAGGGUUUGGGAUAAAUGGGAGGUGGGAUGGGAAGGGAAUAAAAGUUUUAGGGGAAAAGUGGGAGGGAGUAAAAUUUUUGGGGGAAAAUAAAAGGUUUUGAGGGUUUUUAGGAGUAACAUUUUGAGAAAAAUAAAUGGGAGAGUAAAAUUUUGGUGGGAAAUGAAUUUUGGGUAGAUUGGGGGGUUGGGAGGGGAGGGGAGUAAAAGUUUUGGAGGGAAAGUGGGAAGGAGUAAAAGUUUUGAGGGAAAAGUAAAAAGGUUUGGGAGUUUGAGGUAAAAAUGUAAAAUAUUUGUAGUUUGAUAUUCGAAUUAUUCGAAUUAUUCGAGUUUAUUCGAAUUCGAAAACUCAACUCGAUUCGAACUCGAAAUUCGAAAAAAAAAUUCGAGUUGAUUCGAAUAACUCGAUUCGUUUAACUCCAAAUUCGAAUUUUUUUUUCGAUUUUUUCGAGUCGAAUCGAGUUUUGCUCACCCCUACAUGACACACGGCUGAGAGACACCCGUGUGGACGAAAAUAGACCAUUUUUAGGCCGCUUUUCUCACCCAUUUUGAUAUCAACCUAUACUCAACAUUUCAAUACAUCAAUAAACCCUAAACAAGCAAUUAACAUAAGCCAAAAUCAUGUCUUAAGCAUGACAUAACAUCACAAUACUCAAUUACGUAAACUUAUCAAUUUAACCCAUUUCAUUGAUUUCUCAAAUUCUACUACUAAUUACAUACAUACAAGUAUAUAUCAUUAAUAACCAUACUUCAAAUUAGUUCAUUUCCAAUCCAACCCUAUAGAUGCCAUAUAAACCAAAGUUUACAUUGUAAAAACUACCGGAUUAGGUAGGAUAGUGUGGCUUGGUGUGUAGAUCCGAUCUCUUAAUCUCACGUUAAUCUAUAAAAACAUUAAACAACACAAGUAAGCUUGAUGAAGCUUAGUAAGUUCGAUAGGUUAAACAUACAUCUUACCGAACUUAAUAUAAUAAAUCAAUUAGUAAAUAAAUCAUACAUUCUCCCUGUCAAAUAUAAUAUAAAUUGAUGAACACAUUUCCUUCAAAUAAAUAUCAAUAUUAAAUGUUAAAUCUUUCUUUUUCAAUCAUGUAAGUCUUUUACCAAAUCUUACCAAAUCGGGAACAACUUAUGAAUAUGAGUACAUCAUAUUUAGAAUCCCGAAGGCUGCACAAAAGCAUAUAAGUGCUAAACAGAAACCCAUAAGGGUUGAAUGGAAGCUCAUAAGAGCUGAUUGGAAACCCAUAAGGGUUAAACAGAACUCAUAUGAGUCAACAAAUGCUCGUGAGAGCUAAAUGGAAAGUAAACACGAGAGUUCGCAACAAAUGUUGAACAUCGGUUUACUUGAGUAUAUUUAUCGUCAAUUCAUCCUUUGCAUAUACUGUCAAUUCAUCAUUUUCAUUUUACAGUCAAUUCAUCCUUUGCAUUUUACCGUUAAUUCAUAAUUUGCCAAAAAAUAAUUGUACUCAAUCCCGCGUUCCACUCAUUUUGAACAUUCAAUUCGAUUUCAAAUUUUAAGAAUAAUUUUAUUUUCAACAAUAGAUAUGAUUAAGUACAUAGUACCAUUCAUUAAUUUAAUAAAUAAACAUUAAAUUUUAACCAUUCGAACUUACCUGAGUUGAAUUGUAGGAUUUGUAGUAAUUCAGGGACUAUUCUACUAAUUUUCCUUUUUCACGAUUAUCUACGAGCUCUUGAUCUAAAAUGUAAAAUUAUCCAUUCAUUAGUAUAUAUUUCAGUUUCAAUUCCUUCACAAUUAAUACCUCUCAAUUUUCAAAAUUACACAAUUAUCCCAACUUUUAAAAUUUUUGCGAUUUAGUCCCUCACUAAUUAGUCUACCAAUUGAGCUAAUUUUUUUUUCUCAAUUGAUAGUUUAUCUAAAUAUUCUAGGCUAUUAUACAGCUCUUGAUACUCAAUAUCUAAACUAAUGACAUAGAUAGUUGGACCUAAUUGUAAAAGUCUUAAAAACACAAAAAUUUCAAGAAAAAGGCAAGAAUUGAACUCACAUGAAGUGAAAUAGAUAACCAGCUUCUUAAGAGCUCUUCAAUGGUGUCUUUUUGGCUGAAUUUUUGAGAUGAAAUGUCUAGAAAUCAUCUUUUACCAUUUGUUUUAUUUUUUUCUUAAUUUCUCAAAUGUUAAUUUUCCCCCUAAAUCACCUAAUUUAAAGAUUUUUCUCUGCUUAUGCCGCCUCAGCCUUCUAUUAGGUGUCUAAUUACCUUUUUGGUCCUCCCUUAUUUACCACUUAAGCUAUUUAAUCAAUAUUUCUUUAAUUAACAAGUUUUGCACCUUUUUCAAUUUAGUCCUUUUUAUUUAAUUAACUAUCAAAAUGUUAAAAUUUUCUAACGAAACUUUAAUACUACCUUUUAUGAUACUCCGUAAAUAUUUAUAAAAAUAUUUAUGGCUCGGUUGAUAAAAUCGAGGUCUCGAUACCUCGUUUUCGAAACCAUUUUACCUAGUAAAUCUUUCUAAACUCAAAUCACCAAUUCAAAAAUCUUUCUUAAAUCAUACUUGACUUGUAAAUAAUAAAUAAUAAAAAUUUUCGAACUCACUCGUCGGAUUUAGUGGUCUCAAACCACUGUUUUCGACGCCACUAAAAAUUGGGUUGUUACAGAUCGUGCAAAAUAUGAUUUAUAAACUAAAUUGAGUCUCAAGUGAGGUUACGAAAACUCCUAAGUUGACUCGAGAACAACUAAGGAUCAAGCUGGAAAUUUAAAUGAAUUAAUUUAGGGAGUUACAAACCGUAAGCUCCAAGCUAUACAUUUACAUUUAAACUAUGUAAUAUCACCAUAAUACUUAUUAAUUUCAUAAUCAAACUCAACAUCCAGUAAUUUCCAUUCAAUUAAACCAAUGUACGUCAAUAUGGUAUCCAAAUUAUACCAAUUCAAGUUGUACAAAUCUAACUUAUAUUAUAUAACAUCCAACCAUUUAUAAUCCAUCAAUUCCAUAGUAUUUACUUCAUACCAAUAGUCAAUUUCUGCCUAGAAAAUAUCUAUUUCACAUAUAGAUAUUUCAUAGCAUCACACAUUACCAUAUUAAAGGCUACAAGUAUAACUUGUACUAAUAUCAUCUCACAACAUAAUCAUUCGAUACUACAUAUUUGUUUAUAUCUAUUAUACAUUUCAUACUUUUUGAUUUAAUCCUUUUGAUGUUAAAACCAUUAUAAUAACAAUUCCACUAUAAAGCAAAACAAUAUAAUACAAAUAUAUCAUCAAUUAAUAAAGUAAGUCUCAUAUGAACUUACUUGAUUGGAUCAGCAAACAAAUUGAAGCUUUAGGGAUUAAUCGACAAUUUUGGUUUUUCCAUGAUUAUCUUCGGUUUGGUUAAAUUCUCUAUCUAUAAAAUAAUUCAAUUCAAUUUAUUAAUUCUAAACAUAUUAUAACAACCUAUUACAUUAAUGUAUCAGUCCAAUUUUAGUUUUCUAAUGCCCCUAAAAUUUUACAUUUUAUUCAAUUUAGUUCCUAAAAUCGAAAUUGUCAUAACUUUCAAAUAUGAGCUCCAAUUUUUAAACUUAUUUUAAAUACAUCCUUCUACAGCCCUCUAUUAUCAACAAUUACAAAAAUUUUAUACCAAAUUUCAAAAUAUCUACACUUUAGUCCUUAUAUUCAAAACUAACAAUUUUCACUUUACAAAAUAGUCCUUUUUCAUAUCUAAACUUCUAAUCUAACCAUUUAACAUCAAAAAAUUCGAGCAUUCAUCAAUAGAAACAUUUUGAAACUUUAACAAUUUUAAAAAAGGAUAUACGAGUAAGCUAAAUCGAGUUACAACGAUCUCAAAAAUAUAAAAUUUACGAAAAACGAGCCUAACCGAAUAUUGAAGCCUUCAAAAAUGGCUUCCCAAGUUUUAUUUGAUAGCCAAAAUUGGUUUAGAAGAAAGAUGGAAAGAAAUGGAUGAAAACUUCCAUUAAUUUAUGUUUUAUUAAAUUAACAAUUUAUAAUUUAACAUACUUUACAAUUAAAAAAAAUAUACCUAAUCGUCCACCAUCUUUUGAAAUGGUAUAUUUACCAUUUCGAGUCUUGGUUGAAUUAUUUUUUAACUCCUUAAGCAAUUAAAACCUCAAAUAUUUUAACUUUUAUAACUUUUACGAUUUAGUCCUUGUACCUUAUUAGUUACUAAUUCAGUAAAAUUACUUAUUCAUCUAAAUACUCACUCCAUGUAUAUUUAAUAAAAAAUUUCACGGGCUCAGUUUAUAGAAACGAGGUCUUGAUACCUCAUUUUUUUGAACCACUGACUUUAAGGUUGUUACACGUGUACCUUGAUUAAUUAUCAAUUCAAUAAAAUUUCUAAGCCAUAAUUCAUUAUACUUCUAAAUAAACUCAUAAAUAUAUAAUAAUAUUUACGAAUUCACUCGUCAGAAAUGGGGUUUUGAAACCAUUAUUUUUUGAUACCACUAAAAAUCGAACUGUUACAACUUAUCUUGAAGAUUAGAUUGGAUCCGAUCAAGCAAUCAGAUCCUUUGGAUUAUGGAGAUUGGAUUGAGAUAGCAUUGUAGACAUAUCUUCAACAAUCCACUUCACAUUGGUCAUUGUUAUUAUAUUUUACAUGCUAUUUUAGCUGCAAUUUUAUUGGGGAAUUUACUAUAAUUGAUCUAGGAUGUUAGCAAGUGUCAAAACUCUUAUAUAUUUGGAGAGACUUGUACAAGUUUUGUAAUCGAGUGAAUUAGAACUUAUCUUUUCACUGAGUUAUUAAGAGUGUAAACAAGUUUAUUUCUUAGUUUACAACUUAAUUUUCUAAGGAAAAAAUUUAGAGGCGAGUGAUCUAGAUCUUUAAGUACAAAAGAAAGGUUGUUAUACCGAGGUGUCGUAGGACUUGUAUCACUUUUUGUAUUGGGAUUAAAGAUAGUGGAUUCAAUCAUUGAGCUAGUUUUCGUAGACGUAGGGAAACCGAACUGCGUAAACAACUUUGUGACUUCUUGUUUUGCUAUUAUUGUUGCAAUGCCAACUUCAGUGGCCAUUGCAACUAGCACUUCUGUCAUCACUAGCUAUUUUCUUUGCAAGUUUCGAUUGUAGGUUCCAACACUUAGCAAUAAAAUCUUACUCUUAUAGAAUUAGUUGAGCACAAAUCUUCCAAGGGACGCAACUAAAUUUUCGACACUCUUUACAUCCUCAAUUUACUCAUUUAAAGGUAUAUUUUGCUUCUCUUAGUUUUCCACAAGUUACUUUGAAACCUACUUCAAAUAAUGAGGUGGGGAAACCAUUGUUAAUACCUACUAAAAUUAUCCCGUUAAUAGCUUAAUUAGUGCCAAAAAUAGCUAUGGCUCAAAAUAAAGCAAAAGGCCGUAUAGCUUAUAAUUUUUCAAGUUUAUACAUUAGAGUUAGCGACUAACCCGUGGCCCAUAAAUGCUCAUUCUCAUGUAAAGAAAAAAAAAGAUACUACAUUCAAUAAGCUCAAUAAAAAAGAGAUGCCAACACUUCUUAAUGACCAAGAUUGUUAUAUCAACCAAAAAUUGCUAAAAUAGUGGAUCUAGUUAGUCAAUAGGCAGCAUCUAGACAACCCACAAAUCAAUUAUAAGUGCUUAGUUUUAUUAUCACCAUAAGUAUUACCCCUACCAUACAUCAUCUUUUUAACAUACCAAAAUAUUGACUCAAGUAUUGGAAAGCAACUUGGAGCAUAAGCUGCUAUCCUUUUCGCUUACUCAUGUCUUGCAAAUUAUUGACUAUAGAACUUAAUCCAUCAACUACAAAACUCAACUCACCCUAAAUUUUUCAAGCACAAGAAAAAUAAUAUCAACAAACUCCUACUUGAAGGACUGUUUAUACUAAAGCUACAUUUUGAUAUUGAUUUUGAUUUUAAUCAUGAUUUUGAAGGGUGAUCAUAAUUAAUUAUCUUGAAGACUUUAUUCCAUAAUUAACGAUUUUUGUCUUCAAGAAAAUAUCAACAUUGUAGAAGCUUCUCCCAACCUUUUCUCUCUGUGUGUUGUUGGCAUGCAAGGAAACUCCGCAUAUUCCUAUAAUUACUUGUUUUCAAAUGAUAAAACUUGUGUCAAUUGUUAAUGAUUAGCUUAUAAUGAUUGUAACCAAUAACAAGUAAAUUUGUUUCUUCCUUAAAUUACAAUAAUCGGAAUUAAUGAUAAUGUUUGCUAGGUUAUAAGAAUCUAGCAAGUUUCUUAGUAUUAGCACUUUUAUUUGGUUGAACAAGACUAGAGGUUUCCCAACUUUGCCUGGAUUCAUUUGUAUUUCCUCCUACUAAUUUGAUAUAUUUAAAUUUUUAUUACUACUCAUAUUCAAAAAAGAAGAAAUACUGCUGGCAAAAAUUCCUAGAUUAACCAGGAAUUUAAUCUAACCUUCAACUGGACCUCAUAAUUUAUUGUUAAAACAAUUAAAAUAACAAAAAAAAAGGAAAUACGUGAAUGAGGAGAUCAUAUUAAGUUAAAAAGUGAAAGGGUUUGGUCAGCCAUAAACUUGAUUAUGAGUUGAGUCAUUCGCUUAAACUCGAAAUGUUGUUCGAAAAAUGGGAGGGUUUGAACAAAUACAUAAACUUAAAAAAUGGGUUUGGACAAAUAACAAGACUCGUUUAAUAAGACUUGUUUUCUAAACAGGUCAACCUCAAGUAAGAUUUUUGGCUUGGGUUCGGCCCAAAUUUGCUUAAAUUCUUUUUACUGCUGUUUAUUGUUGUUUUGCUAUUGUUUGCUGCCAUUUUAAUGUUGUUUUGUUGUCAUUUUGCUAUCAUAUUGCUACUAUUUUGUUGUUAUUGUUUGGAUAUUGUAUAACUCUUGUUUUAUUAUUAAUUUUACUAUUAUUUUAGAGGCAUUUGCUUACUAAGUUGCAAUUAUCUUAAUGUUAUGCAAGUAUAAAGACUUUUUUUUAAUAUAUUUUCAAUUUAUUGAAAACAUGUAUUUUAAUGCUUUUAGCAUAUUUGAUAUAUUAUAUUUUUAAUUUAUUUUUAUAUACAAAAUUUUUAAUAUGGGUAGACUAAGUGAGGCUCGAACUUUGUAUUAUUUAUCUAGGUCGAACUUAAAUAAAAUUUAAAACUUAUUUUCCAGAUAAAACCCAAGUUAGAAAAACAAGAUUAAAAUUUUGAUGAACCCAUAAUCGGGGUGUAUAGAUAGGCUUGAAUAACUGCCAUAAUUACCAAACAACAAAAGACGGUAAAUGUGGCUGUCUAGAAUAAUGCCCUGCAACAUUAUUAUGCUUUCUAAUUUGUUGCAUUUAUCUGCCAAUACCGCACACGAUUUGUGCACUUAAACUCAAAUCCCUGAACGUUUUAACUCUUUCAGAAGAAAAAGCCCAAAAGAUAAUCUUUCGGUUUCCCUUUGCUGCACAGGGCUGUAGUUUUGACUCCAUCAGCAGCCUAAUGCGUAUUUGCUUCGUUACCCUUUUUGUCUUUACACUAUGAAGAAAAAUGAAUAAUAUGAUGGCUUAUCAAUUUUCUUCCCUCUUUUUUAAUUUCUUAAUACUUACAAUAGUAGGAAAACUGCAUAUUGCUGAAUUAAAAUGAUUAGCUUUGAAACGUAUAACAAAUACAAAUGUUACCUGAUUUGUCUUCAAACAAAUAAUAUAAAAUUUUCACAACACAACAACAUUAACCAACUGCACUAAAAAAAAGAAGAAGUGUUGUAAAUCACUUAAGUGGUUGUCGGUAGGCAUUACCGGCAGGUGGCAGCGCUCACAAAGCGACAAACUGCAGCAGUUCCAAGGCGCGGCGAUCGGCGGAAAAUUAAAAAAGAAAUACUAAAGUUUUCAACUUUCUACGAUAAACCUAAAACCACCACCAAAAAAUCAGACUUAAUAAAUAUAUUAAAAAAUGUUGAGAUCAAGUUCAAAUCAUAUAGACCAAUCCCAAUAUUAGCAUAAACCAUUAGUAAAUGUUCCUUUAGAACCCUACAUAAAGGGCUUCAGUGUCCCCCAUUCACCACUGUUGUGCCCCUUAAGGACCCCUCAACAGCCCCACUUUCACCUAGCCGGCCAACUCUCCCCCUCUUUCCACAAACCCCAUUUUUUUAGCACCAUUUCCUAGUGUACUCGUGUGCUUUUGAAAAUUUUAAAGAUUAUUCCUCUUGUUCUGUUUUCUGCUCAAAGCUCUUUUAUCUGUCCCUUUCUUUUAGUUUCUGACAUGGCAUCCUCUGGCACUGGCUCCCCUUGUGGUGCAUGCAAGUUUCUGAGACGAAAAUGCGCCUCUGACUGUAUAUUUGCGCCUUAUUUCUGCUCGGAACAAGGCCCUGCAAGGUUUGCAGCCAUCCACAAAGUUUUUGGUGCUAGCAAUGCCUCCAAGUUGUUGUUGCAUAUCCCAGCUCAUGAUCGAUGUGAGGCGGUUGUCACCAUUGCUUAUGAGGCCCAAGCAAGGAUUAGAGACCCGGUCUAUGGUUGUGUUGCUCAUAUUUUCGCCUUGCAGCAACAGGUAUUAGAUUUCCUUAUUUUCCCUUCUCAAGGAAGUUUGCAUAUAUAAUAUAAUUAGAACAAAUAUAUUUCCCCAACAUCAAACUUCUUUGAAUUUGAUCCAUGUUCCUUUUCACCAGUUUCAAGAGUUGUUUUCCUUUUGGGGUUUAUGAUUAGCUUUAAUUCGUUUCUAAUGUCGAUGUGGAUUUGAUAGGUGGCAUACCUCCAAGGUCAAUUAAUGCAAAUGAAAGCACAACUAGCUCAAAAUGCUAUGAAUUCACAUAACAUGGAGAGUCAAUGGCAAGGCAAUCUUUCUGGUGGUCCUUCCAUUCCAACAUAUCCAAUCUACAUGAAUCCCAUUUCGCCACAAAGCUCACUUGAGUCUGUUGAGCUCAACAGUGCUGAUAACAUGAAUAUGCAAGAAAUACAAAGCAGAGAGGAGUUUUCUAAUUUCCAUGGUUACUCUAGGAAGAGACCAUACAAUAGUGAUUUGGGUGAGCUUCAAGCACUUGCCCUUAGAAUGAUGAGGAACUGAACUAAAAAACCAUCCUUUUGUUUUUGUUUUCUUUUUCAUUUAUGGAGUUAUGAUUCUGGUUCCGUUCUGAUGCUGAUGAUCUUUCAUUUCCAAAACAAUGAUUGUACAUACGGAGACUGUUACCAAGUAAACUUUAGUACUAAACUUUCUCAUCUGCCAAACAAUAUUGGCAUUUUCCCUUUUUUUUAAUUAUUCAGCUCUAUCUGCAACUCGUGCUGUUGGUAUAAUAAAUUACUGAGGGUGGUUCAUUCUUGUCUGUUCUGACAGCUGAAUGGAAACUUAUAGUCACCAAUAAUGGAGCUAACUUCAUUUGAUAAUCAAAUGUAUUAUUUAAAUAAUCUCCUUUUGAUCAUACCUAUCAAAACCAAUGAUGGAUUACACAUAAAUGCCUACAAAUUUGAACCCAUUUCCUACCAUCAGAUAUUAAUUAAGGAAGCAAUUGUUGGAGGUCUUUUAUUUUUCUUUGAAAAGUCAAAGGGAAACUUCAUUUAAUCAAGCAAAGAUACAUCAACGGCAAACUAAAAUAGUUUAAAUUGUUGGGGUUAUGUAGAUCUAUACUCUCUCAUAAAACUAAAAUUGUUGCGUACAUUUUUAUUUAUGAUUAAUAUCUUAAAACUAUUAAAUUUAUUAAUAUAAUAAUACUUAUUACACAUAUAAAUUUUUAAAUCGAUAUGAUGUUUAUAUCAUAUAGAUCGAAUAUUGUACUUAUUAAAUAUAUAUUUAACCAUUUAAUGUUUCUUACACAAUAAAUAUAAUUAGACAUUUUGAAAUUACUCUAUAUUUAACAUGCAUGAUUUAGUUGAAUAAAAUAUAAAAUAUAUUGAUGAAAUCAUUAAAAUAUUAAUUAUACAAAAUUAUAAAUAGAUAUAUUGUUUUAUACUUAUGUAAUGCUGAAAAUAUAUUGUAAUAGGCCCAAUUUACCCGGCCCGUUAGAUAAAUAAACGCCAAAUUAAAACAAAAAAAAACAACAAAACAAAUAAACAAAUAAACGUCCAAUAUUAAAAUAAAAAACCAAUUAGCCCAAUCAGCCUAAGCCCAAAACCCUUAGCCCAAGCCUAACCUAAACCCAAAUACAUUCCCUAUCCCAAUCGUGUUACAAGCCCAACACAAAAAUGAAUCAGAAACCCUAGCAGCAUGGCUCCCAGCGCCGCAGCAGUAGCGCCUCUCUGCUCUCCUUCGCACACGCAGAUGCCUUCGCACGCCUCAGUCGCCGCUCCAGCAAGCCAUCAAGCCGCAAUCAACCUCUGGCCUCGCAUGCGCGCCACUGUCACUCGCGCGAGCCUCAGUACGCACACGUGCUUCUUCUCCUCCAGGCCGUACUUGCAAACAAACAAACAAAAAUAGCACAGCAAAAAGAAAAAGGACGAUUGUAUUUUAUUUUAUUUUCGUUUCGGCUAUAAAAGAGCCAACAAAAUCUGUAAAAAGUUUCCUUUUUUACGAUAUCAACACACAGACACACAGGCAUAUUGUGUACAAAAAAAGAUUCAGAGAGAAAUAAAAAAAUCAAAAAUUCGAAAGGUGAUGGCAGUUUUUUUUCCUUGGUUUUUCUUUGUCUUUUGGCCGUUUCUUUUCAUUUCUGUUUUAUAUCUAUAAGCGAAACAACAAAAAAGGGAAGAAAAGGAAGGAGUCGUACCUUGUCGUAGGAAGCCGUUGGAUCUCUGACCCUCUCCGUUGCAAUCGGAGCCUGGGUGGAGGUCGUAGACGCAAGAGCGGCGCAGUACCUGGGGUAAGCACCUAGGUUUCUUUGAAAGGGGAAAUGAAAUCUGGUGUUUAGGUUUUGUUUUUUUAGUUUAUAAACAACUUAAAACGGCGCCGUUUAAGCCACUUAGUUUCAGCAACCCGCGCGGUGACCCGACCUGGGGAGGAUUCGCGCGUUCUGACAUUUUGGUUUAUUUGCGCUUAGAGUCCCUUCAUGUUUUGCUCAGUUUCAAUCAGAUUUCUUCCCAUUUUUCUUAAUUUGUACCGCAUAUUUAAUUUUAUUUUCAUUUCGAUCCAAAGACAAACGACGCCGUUUGGAGGCUAGACCCGCGCAGUGACCCGACCCGGGGUAGGAUCCGCGCGUUUUAGUUCAAGGGUCUAUUUGCACGACGAUUCCCUAUGUGUUUGGCGUAAUUGCAAUUUGAUUUUCUUUAAUUUUUUCAAUUUGUACAGCAUAUUUGAUUUAGGUUUCAUUUCGAUCCUUGUUUAAAACGGCAUCGUUCUCACUAUUUAGAUUUGAGCAUUCAAACUUUGCGUUUAAUUAUUAUUUUAGUCCCGUUGAGUUUAAUCAAUCACCAAUUUAGUUCGAAUCUGCGUAUUUUAUACUUUUAAUUUGGUAUUUAAUUAGUUUGUUUAGCACAUUUUUUUAAUAUGAUAAAUCUUGUUUUGAUAUAUUAUUUUUGAAAAGAUUAACAUUAGCUCAAUAUUUAACUUUAGAUAGUGUUUUUAAAUUUACUAUUAUUAUAGUUUAAAACAUAAUAAGUUAUUAUUUUAAUUUGUUAUUAACAUUUUUGAAUUCAUCAUACACUAAUAUUUUGAAUCUAUUGUAUAUAUUUAUUUAAUUUUGGUUUUACCCUUUUUAUUAUUUCUAAUUUUAUUUAAAUUCCAAUUUUAAACUCAUUGAUACUAUUGUAUUUAUUUCAAAAUACUAUUAUACAAUGUUGUUAUUAUUUUAUUUCAAGUCUAUUUCGAGAUCAUGUAUAAAUCUUUUUUAGAACGUUUGACAUAGGAUUCAUUAGGCGUAAUUCCUCUUUUAUUAUUUUGGGUAUAUUUUAGAAAUUGUACAUUAAUUUCUUUGAUGUUGGGUUGUCAAUAUUGGCAUUUGUAUAAUAUUAUUAAAACAAUUGUUGCUAUUCUUAUUUGUAUUUACCUAUUGCUUGUUUGUUACUUCUUAGUAUGUGUUUGAAUUAUAAUUUAUUUUUUAAUUACACAUUAAUUAUGCUACAUUUGUUUUUCUUAAAAUGUGUUCUAUUAAAGCACUACAAUCCUUUCAUUUCUUAAUUUUUAAAAAAAAGCUUGGUGUUCAUAGUUAUCGAGAGGAUUGUGCCCUUCAAUUCUUCUCGAUAAAUCUAGAUAGCCAAGUGGUUAUUUUAUUAAAACCAUACAAUUUUAAAAUAAAGCUUUUAAGAUUUCAAAAUGUUUGGAUCCUAACUUACUGGAUAUGAUAUUUUGUUAUCUCGAUUUUGAAAGUAAAGGCAAUACCCGAUAUUUGGAAUCCUCGAGAGAAUUGAGCCCUAGCGUAUUGGGUUUUUAAUUUUUCUCGUUGAAUCUAAAUAAUCAAAUUUUCUUUAAUAAAAACGCAUAAAUAAAAGCACAUUCUCAGGAAUUCGAUACGUCGUGUCCUAAUGCAUUGGAUAUGACAUGUUAUUUUCUCGAAAUGAGGAUUCUUCUAAAAAUAAAGGCAAUAUUCGAUAUUUAGGAAUUUUGUGAAAUCGAGCCCUAACUUAUUGGGUCUUGAUUUUCUCAUUUAACCCAAAUAAUCGGAUAUCCUUCUCAAAAUGCAUAGGUUUUAAAAGUCAAGAGAUAAACUUAAUUUUGAGGAUUUAAAAUGUUACACUCUAACUUAUUGAGUGUGACGAUUUAUUUCUUCGAAAUAAGUGAGUCACAUCAAUCAAUUUCAUUCUAUUCAAAUUCUCUUUUCAAAGGAUCGUAUUUUAAAAAAUCUUUUCAAAUUCUCGACAUUAAGACAUUAAACAAUCAAUUCGGUACCAAUUUUAGGCGUCACGAGGGUGCUAACCCUUUCUCGUGUGUAACCGACUCCCGAACCUGUUUUUUCAAAAUUCGCAGACUUAAAAUUAUUUUCAAGGUGAUCCGAUCGCACCAUAAUAAAAGAUCAAUGGCGACUCCCAUUUUCAUUUUCAAAGUCGACUCCGAUUUUUCAAAAAUUUAAAAAAUGGUUUCGACAUAUACUAGUGCAAAACAAGUUUGUUAGCAUUGACAAGAAAAAUAAACCAAGAAUUAAGAAAUAAAAUUUACUGGGCCGUGGAGGAACCACUGCCUUAGAAACGAAUUCGCUCUGAUUGAUGUAAUCGUAUAGUGAAUGUUGUCUCCUAAGCUUAACACAGUGCUACGAUAUUCGUACACCCAAAUAAAGAAGGUGGAACACAAUUGAUAUUGCUCUUCUCAGGAAAAUCACAUUAAGAUCAAUUUCCAGAAAAGUUUAAAAAGGUCACAGUCGGUUCCGUUUCAAACGCCAAAUUUCUAGAUAGAAUUUACUCUAAUGUAAUUUAGGGAAAAAUGGCAAAAAUUUAAAAAAAAGAUGGAAAAGAGGCGAGGAGGAGGAAAGAGUUUUCUGAAUGUUGCAUUUUGCUUUUUAUAUGAAAAUGUGGAAAAUAACUCUCUAUUUAUACUAGUAACAAAAGGGUAAAAUAGUAAAUAUUCAAAGGCAAAAGAGUAAAAAUCAUUUCCGUGCAGCAGCAAAAAAUAUAUUUUAUUUCAAAUUUUCGUAACAGUCAAAGAAAAAGUAAAAUUAUUUUUAAAGAAAUUAUUUUCUUGAAAAUAAUAUAAGAGUCUUAUCUGAAAAAAUACAAAAAUACGAACCUAGCAACAGCAACACGCGUGUGUUAGACUUAUAACCAAAUACCCUAUGUAACUAAGAAGUAUAGCUAUAUAUAAACUCUGUUAAUAGUCAAUACUUAACCAGUAUGGGAUAUACUUAGUUACCAACCAUCCUUUCUCUUUAUAUAAUAUAUAUUUCCAUAUCAAGAUGCCUCCAACUUUUGUCAUCGUCAUUGAGAUUAAUAACCUUUACGAGGGUUAAAGGUAUAACUAAAUAUUAGGUUCUACUGAUAUAUUUGAUUUUAAUUGAUAUUUAUUAUUUUUAUACAAUUGAUAUUUAUUAUUAUAGUUUAAAUUACGGCUAAAUUUAACAUUCUGAAAUUUUUAUUGUAUUUUGCCCUUUAAAAUUAAGUUGGGAUGAUUUAAAGAUAAAAUUUAACCAAAGAAUUCCUCCAAAUACUUCAUUUUAAUAGCAACAAUAACAUAAAAUAAUAAUAAUAAUAAUAAUAGAAAGGCCUAAAAUGGGAAAAUUAUUGUUUUUGUAAAUUAAACACUCUUCGUUAUUUUUUAAAAUAUUUGUUAAACAAAUUAAGUAUCAUUCCUCCAUAUUUAAAGAGCACUCUUGUUUGUUAAAUUCAAUAAAAGAUGAAAAUAUUAGUGAGUAUAGUAACAAACUCAUCCUUAAUUAAAAAAAUCAAUGAAAAUAAAAGACGGAAAUGACAAAAAUCUUGAACCUGUUAAAAUAAAUGUAGAAAUGAUAGAAAAAUAGGGAUUGAGGACUUGGAUUCAAGAUUAUUAAAUCUCGCAUAAAGAAAGGGUGCUUUCAUGAUGAAGGGGUAUGGCUUGGGGAAAUUUCCCAGGGACCCACUCUACCUAGGUUUAUGUUGUAAUUAGUAGGUUUACCUAACAUAAGUAUUUCUUUCUAAUUUUUAAUAUUAUUAAAAAAAAUACCAAUAAACCAUGUCCUUGUAUUCAUAUUGAUAGACAAAAUGUUCCAUUGAUUGAAUGCGAAACCCUACAUAUGAAAUCACUGUUCAUAAUCAUAUUUGUUACUUUUGUACAUUUUUGUUCAAAUAAAUUUAGAAUAUGGAAUGGACUCCAUUACUUGUACUUGAAAAAGCAAAUACUGAUUAAUAAAAUCGGGAAUGUGAGCUGCCACGUUAAAUUAAAUUAGACAAAAAUUGAACUUUAAAACAUGGAAAAAGAAGACAAGGAAGCCGUGUUCAUAUACUAAUAGAAUUCCAACUCCAAUCUUUGUCAAGAAAUGGACAUUUGAUGACGUGUACAGAUUUAUUAUACUCACCAAUUAUUGUCUUGUCAAGAAAAAGCAAUGCAUGAUUACCAAGCUUACACCUCUUCUUCGCCUUUUAACCCAACUUUUGACUAUUGAUUUCGCAACCCACGUUUGCGUAAUCCUAACCCUUCAUUGUGCCAUCCACUACUAAUCCAUCACAUCACAUCUUCUCACUCUAAUUUUUUUUUUAAAUUUAAUCUUUAUUUUUAUUAAAUCCUCUUAAAAUUGAUAAAAAAUUAUUAUUUUUUAUUUUUGUUAAUGUGGUAUAUACGUGAAUUAUCACUCAAUAUUUAAUUAAUUUUUAAAUUUUAAAAAAUUAUAGAAUUUAUUUUUAAAAAUUAAAAAUAUUAUAUAUAAUAAUUUUUAAAUUUUAAAAACUAAUUAAAUACUAACAUGUCAUUCGCACAACAAUUCAUAUGUAUAUCAUAUCAACAAAGUUAACAAACAAUAACUUUUAUAUAUUUUUUUAGAUAAUUUAAUAAAAAUACAAAUUCAAAUAUUAAAAAAGAUAAAAAAAAUUAAAUUAAAUUAAAUGAAAGCCUAAAAUAAUUUUUUUUAUAAAGUUAAAAUACCAAAAAGUUCAUUACCUCAAUUUUCACAACAAUUGUGUGUUACUUUUAAGAUUAAUAGUCCCUUUUAAUUCUCUCUUUUAAUAAUAUUAUUUUUAAAGUUUGAAUCUGUAUUUUUUUUUCUCCAAGUGUUAUGUGUUUCUUUAUCACAAUUAAUACUUGAGUUUUAUUUAAAUAAGAAGUAUUAUUAAAAAAAAUUAUUCCAUACAUAUUAUGCGGAGUUUUUUAUACUCUACAAACGAAUUAAGAAUGUGACAUGUUGUUGGGGAUCGACCUGAUUAAGCAACAAACAAGUAAAAAAUAGCGGAAAAAAUUAAAAAAAUUGAACACAUACAAAGUUAAUGUGGAAACCCCCUCCAAAGAGGAUAAAAAACCACGGAAAAAGAUAAUUUUACUAUAAUGACAAAAGAAUGAAGAAUACAAAAGAUGAAGAUAAAAACUAUACCCCGAAACCUGAAACCAAAGCACCCUCAAAACAUAAACACAAAAUUCUUCAAAAGUGUUAUGAGUUCUAAUCUUUUAAUGGAUUUUUUUUUCUAAGGUCGUAAAAGAGCCUAUUUAUAGGCUAAAUUCGUAGAUCAAAUAAUAAUAAAAUAAUCUAGACUAAUCAGAGUUCGACUAAAACAAUUAAACAGAGUUUAACUGGGAGAUUAUCUCUCAAAUUUGACUGAAAUAUAAUGCAUACUCAACAAAUCUCUACCUUAACUCAUAUUUUCACAAAGUCCAUCACAGGCCUAUCUUGAACUAUACAAUGAAUUGACUGAGUCGAAUCUAUGCUUAGAAGCUGGAUGACUUCUAGCCUUCGACUUGUGCACUGCCAAAUCAAAACUAACCUGGGUUUGAUUCUCACAAAUACAGUGUCCUAACUUUUCAAAACCAACAUCCAAAAGAGAAUCAUUCUUCAACGAAACGGUCAUACCUUUUUCCCUCCUAUGACCAAGUUGACUUCGACUCCGUAACGAACGAGGGACAUCCGGUUUCAUCGAUCACUAUAAAACCUUCAAGAAUAUAAAGAUUGUCAGUCCUUUUAUGUUUUAACAAAAUGAGAGCCCCAUGAGACACCUUAAUGCCGCUCGACUCGAUGUUGAUUAUGCAACCUUUCGAGUCUAAAAUACUCAAGGAGAUGAGAUUCUUUCAUAAAUCAGGUACAUACCUAACAUCUGAGAGUGUCCUAAUCGUCCCAUCGUGAUCCUAAUUUUAACAGUACCAAUACUGAUUACCUUACUGGAUGAAUUGUUUCUCAUGUGCACAAAUACACCUUCAACCGAACUCUAUGUGGAAAACCAUUUUCUAUUGGGACACAUGUGGAAAAAAACAUCUUAAAUCUAGGAUCCACUUAGAUGUAAACUCAGAUCUAUCGCUCGUUGACACUAAUAAGAAAUCAUCACCAUUUUUGUCGGCCAAAUUAGCAUCAACUACAUCUUUCUCGUUACUCUCAAUUGCCCUUUUAUUUCACAGUUUAUAACAAUUUGUAACUUAACUUCUUACAAUAGCGACACCUUUUGUCUCACUUCUUUAAUGCUACCAAAACGGAAGCUUGCCUAUCUGCCUUGUUAUCCGAACCAAACUCAUUGUUGAGUUUGUUUUUACUCAACAAAUGACCCUUCACAUCUUCAAACGAAAGUUUGUCUCUACCAUAAAUUAGGGUCUCCCUGAAAGACUUGUAUGAAUAAGGUAAAGAGCACAGUAAUAGCAUAGUUUGAUCUUCAUCGUCAAUCUUAACCUCAACAUUCUUUAAAUCAUUCAAAAGACUAAUAAAUUGACUGAUGUAAUCUCUAAGAAGCUCACCUUCGUUCAUGCGAAACGUAAAUAGACGUCGUUUCAACACUAUACGGUUAGCCAAAGACUUAGUCGCAUAAAGAGUUUCUAAUCUUUUCCACAAUACAGAUGAGGUUUUCUCCAUCAAUAUCUCUUGUAAUACCCUAUUCACAAGGCACAACUAGAUUUCAGAAAGGGUCUUUUCAUCAAGCUCUUCCCAUUUUUUCUGAUCUAGAUUCUUAGGUUUUUUCCCGGUAAUGACAUUUUUCAGGUCGAUCUGACCUAGAAUUGUCAUUAUUCAAACUUGCCACAGAUUGAAAUUUGUGAUACCAUUGAACUUCUCAAUGUCAAACCUCGUUACUUCUUUCUCUGAACGAGUUGAUCUACGAAAAUUAAACUAGCUUUAAUACCACUUGUUAGGGAUCGACCCGAUUAAACAACAAAUAAGUACAAAAUAGCAGAAAAAAUUGAGAAAUUGAAUACACAUAAAUUUAACGUGAAAAACCCCCUCUAAAAAGGAUAAAAAACCACAUGCAAAGAUAAUUUUACUAUAAUAACAAAAGAACAGAGAGUACAAAAGAUGAAAAUAAAAACAAAACCUGGAAACCCGAAAAUAAAGAAUCCUCAAAACGUAAAUACAAGAUUCUCCAAAUGUGUUAUAAGUUCUAAUUUUUUAAUGGGUGUUUUUUUUUCUAAAGUUGCAAAAGAGCCUAUUUAUAGGCUAAAUUUGUAGGUCAAAUAAAAAAAAAAUAAUCUAGACUAAUCAGUAUUCGACUGAAACAAAUAAACAGAGUUUAACUAGGAGAUUAUCUCUCAAAUUUAACUAAAAUAUAAGACAUACUCAACACACGUUUUAUAAAAUAUUAUAAAAAUAUAUAUAAAUAAAUAGGACAAUUAUGAUAUUUUUAAUUAUGUUUGUGGAUUCUAAAACUUUUUAAUCUCUAUAUCAAAUAAUUACUCAAUUUUUUUUUGUUUCUUUUAUAUAUUAUACAAUAUUUUUGUGGAAAAAAAAACUUCGUUUUUGCUUUAAAAAAAAAACUUUGUUUCUCUCUCUAUCUCAAUGUUAUCAAAUGGUAUUGAAUACAUCCAUAAACGGGUUCAACAAUUUGAUGUGUAUCCAAACCACUUAAAAAAUGCAUAAAUCAGUUUUAUAUAUUGUAUUGGGUUAAUAUAUAUUUUUGAUAUAUUUAUCUGAUUUAUGUUUAUUUUAACUCAAAUACAUUUAUUUUUUCCCAUUUAAUUUUACUACAUUUGAAAAAAAAAUCCUAAAAAUAAAAAGUAGAAAUAAGAAACUAACAAAUUUAAAUCAUAUCUCAUUAUAAGUUCGUAUUAUAUAUAUUCUUUUUGAUAUAAUGCCUAGAACUACUCAUAACCCCUCUCCAACCCUUAAAUAAGAGGAUAACGCGUUUCAGCACACUCAAACUCACGUCCUUUUACACGGGCAACAAUGCCGAUGCCAAUUGAGCUAAAACUCAAUCGGCUACUAUAAUAUAAUUUUUAUCCCUUGACAAUUAGAUCUAUUUUAAUACUUAUACUUUGUUUGGUUGUUUUAGUAUUUGAACUUGACAAUUAAAUCCAUUUCGAUCCUUAAACUUGAUAUCUGUUAAGAUUUUGUUAUUUAACCAGUGUUUGUGGAACAAGACUAGAUUGGUCAAUCGGACUAAUUGGAUCGAGAACAAAUUGAUAUAUUGGACCAAACAAAGGGGUUGAAUCGAUUGAAUUAGAAACUACUCAAAAUCAAUAAAAAAUCGAAAAUUGAGACAAAAAUCAAUAGUUAAACCAAUUUAAUAAUUUUUUUAAAAUUUUUAAAUAUUUAUUUUAUUAUUGUUAGUCUAGUAGUUGAACUAAUCAAACUAAUUAAAUUAAAAAUUAGUGGUCUAACCGGUUCGAUUAUUAGAACAUUGUAUGCGACACUCAAAAAUUGACGUCAUCAACUGAAAAUUUUCUAUUUUCAAAUGAUGGUAUGACACAAUCUCAGUGUGUCACAUUAUUAAACUUUUAUAUUUUUUAAAUUUAGAGAUCAAAAUGGAUUUACCAAGUUCAAAUAUCAAAGUGAAGCAAAAAAAUAUAUAGAUACUAAAUUACACCUAAUUACCAUGUUUAGGGGCUAGUCGUUAGAACUCACUUGCUCUUUCCUUCUUCAUUAAUCCUUCUUUAAUCUUUAUCACCGUUGCUUAUAUUUUGAGUGGGAAUCUGAAAUCCCAACUCAUUCAUGCUAAAAUUGCAAACCUGAAGUUGCUUUUAUUUAUGGAAAUGUUAAAAUUCAUAAAUUACGUUAAUUCUUUUUUUGUUUCAUGAUUUUUUCUGAUAAUUUAAUUAAUUUAAUUAUCAAUUCAAUUCGUUAACAAUCUUUUAACUUAAUGAUAAAAGUACUAAAUUGUAGACAUAAAUACAUAGGUUGAAUUCCUUUUUAUCUUUAAUUAUCAAAAAAAAUUAUGGAUUAUAAAAUAAAGAUUUUUGGAAGGAACUUAAUGCUUGAAAUUAGUUAAAGAGAAUACAAUAGAGAUAAGGUAAGCAUUUUGUUAUUAGUUGGUAGCACAGAUGAGUUAUUUGUUUUUGGAAAAUACAUCGAAUGGGCCCUGCUUGUGUUUGUGAUUAUCAUUUCAAUUGGGCCUCUGUAAGGGUAACAAUUAACAGAGGGAGGGAGGGAAAUUCAUGCCCCAAGUUAAAUUGCAUUAAUUUAUUCACGCAUGCUUUUUUAUUUAAAAAAAUGGGAAUAUAUAUCUGAGGCCUUAUGUUUCAUAACAAGCAUGAUCAUCACUUGCACUGAUUAGUUACUGAUUUUUUCUUUUCCAAAAUCCAAAUGCAUUGCUUGAUAAAAAGUAAGGAUCGUUUAGUGAUUUAGAUGGAGGACUUCAAAACUUCAUAGCAAUUACAAAUAAAUCAGAUAUUUUAUCUAGUAGUAAGCCUAUGGUUUUUCACAAUUUUACGUUUAUUCUUUUUCAUGCAUCUAUACAUGUACAACUGUAGGAAGUUUAAUGUAUAUACAGUGGAAGAAGUGUAAUACAAGUUGUUUACUUCAAUCCUUAUCAUGAAAAAUCAAAAAAAUCGGCUCCGCAUUCAACAUUGCGAAUGCAAACAAUAUUAAUAUUGCAUAUUAUCAAGAUAUAAUAAUCAAACAUCACGUACAACAAAGCUUACAUUAUUAUGGUCAUAGUUCACGAGUUAUGCUACAUUGAUUAAGCAAAUGUCGAAGUAAUUAAUUUCAGCCUUUUUUUAUUUGGGGGAGGGGGGUGCAAUGUGGGUUAUUAGACUUGAAAACAGGAGGGAAAUCAUGAAGAAAUAUCAAAUUGGGAUGAACGGAGAUCAACGUUAGGUUCCAUAAGUUCAACUUGGGAUCAUAAUCAUGUCCAUUUUAAUAUGAAAAUUAUUUCAGAGUUUCAAAUCGAUUGUCUGUGGAGCUAUAUAUGCAGUAAAGAAGCCAAACAAGGUAGUGUAAGAAGACAUGCAUUUUGUUAGCCUAGAUGUUUUACUGAGCAGGAUUGAAUCUUGCAACGAAUCCGUUACGUGGAGAAUAGGAUAAAAUUAUAGAACCGGCUAAGAUAAAUAAUUAAGUGUGGUGUAGGAAAGGAACUAGGUAACUGUAAUUUUAAUUACUAGGUCAAGAACUACAUGUGGUCCUCAAAAGGCUAAGAGGUCCAUAGACAAAGCAAAAUAAUUAGCUCGACCAAAACCAGAUCAUUUUCUAGCUCCAGUUUUGUCAGAGAUAGGAAAUACACUACUAAUAUUCUAUCUCAAUAUCCAGGCCAGAUUAAUUUAUAGAAAACAGAUUCACAGUAGGGUAGAUUUUAGGGUUUCCGAAAUGAACAUUGAUCCUUUAGGGUUCCUAGCUUUUUUUUUAUACCAACAAAAGUGCAUGUAUGUUUCAAAAUAUGCAGCAUUCAAUUCAAAACUGGAAGGUCGAUGGUUUUUAUAUAAAUGAUCUCUUGUGCUGAAUUGACCAUAUGUAAAUGGAUUGGAUCCCCUCAUCAUGAAUAUUGCUGAGCAUAUCCAAAGGCCAUUGAUUGAAGGUCAUCCACCUCCUGGAAACCCCAUUGUCUGUUGUUUGUAUGCAGGUCUAAGGAAGACAUAGCAUGAGAAGCCUCCCCAAAAGUAGUAGUGGUAGUAUAGGAUGACACAUGAUCUUCUCCUGGCGAAGUGAAUGAAUUCUCGUAAUUACCUAAAGGGUUUGGAUUCAAAAACCCAUUCUCACAGUACGAGUUUGUGCUGGGAUGAUUGGGAAUGUUAGGAUUAAAUUUGAGUGCCAUGCUUGAAUUAUCUGAGUGGAACCAGCUUUGAACAUCUUGGAACUGAGAAGGAAGCUUUCCAUUAGGGUUUGCAGUAACAGAGCCAUUAACAAUGCUCUGAGAUGCUUGUUCCUUGAGAGAAGCAAGCUGCGACUGGAGAUUGACAACCUACACAAAUUCCAAACACAGGGAACUAAGCAAUGGAUUUAGAUAGAUACCUAUAUUUCAAAAAUCAAAUUAGGGUUUCAACUCAUCUAAUUACAUCAUAUCAAACAAGGUCAAAGGGGUGGUGAGAAAAACCUGCUGUUGGAGAGCAAAGAUAUGAGAAACACAACCAUAAAUGGGAUCUUGAAGCCUAGCUUUAGCUUCAUACGAAAUUGUGACUGCAGCUUCGCAGCGAUCACUGACAGGGAGGUGAGCAAGCAGCUUGGAGACAUUGCUUGCACCAAAAACCUUGUGGAUAGCUGCAAAAUGGGUUGCACCCUGUUCAUGGCAGAAAUAAGGUGCAAAAACACAGCCUCUAACACAUUUUCUUCUCAAGAACUUGCAGGCACCACAAGGGGCACCAGAACCUGUCAUUUUGAUUUAUUUUAGUGGGUAAUUUGAGAGAGGGGGGGGGGGGUUGAGCUAAACAUCAUAAAGCAAAAAGGGGAUUAUAAACACGGGAGGAAGAGGGAGGUAGAUCAUUUAAUAAUCAAUUCUUAAUUGCAUCUGGUCCCCUUAUUGGGCUACACUUGCCAUUUGUUUUUUCUUCUCCCCUUUUAAAAAACCCUGUGGCAACCUUUCAUUCUGAAUUUUUAUACCCUCAAAUGAGAUUCCAUUUCGUACCCUUAUACGACAAAACAAGUAGCUUAAAAAAGAAACCCAUUUCUAUUUUGCUUGAUGAUUGGACUUAUAUGCCAAUUAUUCCCCCUGAUUUUCAUUGAAUGUUGAUAUAUAGGCAAACUGAUGAUGUGUCAACUUGUCAAGUUAUUUUGUUUUUAAAUUUGGUGUUUAAAGGCAUGUACAGAAAAGAAAAGAGAAGGAAAGAUGUAUAUAUUAUUCAUUGUUAACACCAUAUGCAAACAGUUUACCUAGCUAUAUCUCCAAAGAUUUAUAAAUAAUUGGUGGAGAUAAGGUUCUAAUUUUAGUGGGAAAACUUUUUCUACAAACUCAACUCCUCACAACGUCUCAAACAUUUACAAACUCUGCUCAUAUCUAAACUAUAAAAUCAUAAUUAUUAUUAUUUUCUUUAGUCGGCUAUUUUUUAUUGUGUCAUAUUAUUUUUAAUUGAUUGAAGGGUAAUAGCGCCAUGCUCCUAAAUUACAACUUCAAGUUGUUUCUCCUCUUCUUCAUCUAAAACUAACGAAUCUAGACUUUAAAAACCUUCCUCGCUUCAAUACCUCCACUAAUGCAUCAAAAUAACAUUUCUAUAUUGUCCAUUAAUUUACUUGGGAUCUGUUUAUAUAAUUUAUGUUGUACAUUUUGAAUCACAUUAAUCUAACUUCUAGUAUUUGUUUUUUUUUAGUUUUUACCUAUCGUAUUUUUCAUAUAAAAUUUGCAGCAUAAUUGUGGCUCAUUGAUUCACUAUUUAUUAAAACCUACUGCAUAGUUGAUUAUAUAUUAAUCAAAUGAAUAAUCAAUUAAACCUUUAAUCAAAAAUUAGUUAUCAAUUAAGUAUUUAAAAUUUUUUCCAAUUGAGUGAUGAUGACGUCCAUUAAGUGAUGAUGUGGCAACUAAUCUGCUAAAUUAGUGGCGUGACAACUGAGGUGGUGACUAAGUUAAAGUUAAUGACAUGGUAGUGGACGUGAACACUCGCAAAUAAUUUUUUUAGGAGGACGAAAUUAAAUUGUAAUUUUACUAUUUUAGUAGCCUAUAUCUUUAUAGUGUAUAAAUGAUUAAAUUAAAUAUUUAUCAUUUUUAGGGGGGCCAAAGUAUAAUUUUAUCUUUACCAAUUUAAAAUUUUAAAAUGCCAAAAUAAAAAAAUUUUCCAUUUUAAGGGGGUUGGGGCCCCUGCCAGCCCCCCUAAUUACGCCCCUGUGUGAACACUUGAUGGCUUGUCAUAUUAUAGAUUUUUAAGGUUUUUUUAAAAAUUUAUCUACAUUAAGAUGAGCCUAAACGUCCAUUUGUCCAAAUUCAUUCUGGGUGUGCAUUUUAGUAAUUUUAUAUAUUUUUUAUAAUGUCAAAAAAUAAUUAUGAUAUGUUAAAAAAAAUUUAAGUACUUUUAGAAUUUUCUGGAAUUUUCUAAUAUUUUUAGAAUGGCUUAAUUCAUCGUUAAUUUUUUUUUAUUGAAGGCUCAAUGAGUGUUUUAUUUAUUUAUUUAUUAAGAGUUGAAUUGCUUUACUUUUUGUGUGGGUACAUAUAAAUUAACUCCUAAGGGAGUCUUAGGAGUAAAUAGGGGCAUAAUGGUCAUUUACAUCUUAAUUUUUUAUGAUUAAUUAAUUUAUAUAAAUAUAAAACCAAUUUCUAAGUGAGUGUUAGGAGUAAAUGGGGUUACAAUAGUCAUUAUAUCUUAUAUAUCUUAUUAAAUUAUAUCUGAGGAAAUAGGGUCAUUAUGGUGUUUCUCUCAUAUAUAUAUAUAUAUAUAUUAAUUUAUAUCUAAUAAAUCAGAAUAGAAUGGUAAAGGCAAAUUAAUAUUUUGAUUGAUGAGGAAGACAAUUCAACCCAUAUCUUAUAUACAAGAAAAUAAAAUAAUGAAGACAAAUUUCAUAAAAUAAUUGACAUAGAUGAGCACUUGAAUAAAUUGUUAUAAAAGUUAGAUUUGAAAGGCAAAAAAGAAAAAUUUGAGAUUAGAGCAGGAUCAAUUUCCUUUAUAGUUGUAAUUCAAGAAAAUAAAUAGUAAUAUAUUUUAGUAAAUACAAAUAAUUUGUUAAUAACAAUAUAUACAAUUUAUGGUUACAUUUUUAAUUACUCAAUAAAUACUCAAUUUCAUAUGAACAUUGACAAUGAAUCAUUGUUGAUUCAACCAAAGGGAUGUUUUGGCAUGCUUAGAAAUAAAAAAUUUGAAGUCUCAAGGUGAUUCUAUAGUCUUUUAAAAGAUGAGUGGUGUUCCCUGAUGGCAAUUACAAAAAAAAAAAAAAAAACACCACCUCCUAUAGUUAAAGUAUUCAAUAAUAUUUUUAACUAAAUAAGAAUUGUAAUUAUGGGGUGUCCAAAAGAGUUAAUUAGAUAAGAAUAUAUAUAUUCUCACAUUUUGAUGAAUUUUUACUUUUUUCCUAGAUAUUGGCUCUAUGCAUCAUGCUUUAAUUUAAGAGCAUAACAACACUGUUUAAUCAUCCAACAUCUUCAAAAGGCAAACAUGAUUGAUAUAAAUUGUUGAGCAAUGUGAAGAUGAGCUUCAUUUUGUUAAAAGUCAGAAAGAUUGAGUAUUCAAAUUCGAGAGUUCCACUAUACAUUUAAUGAUCAUUUUCUUAUAAAUUAUAUUUAAUAGUUUGAUUGAUUAUCUGAGAAUCUUCACAUUUAAUUUAUUUAUUUUUAUAUAGAAUUACUUUUAAAAGAUUAUGAAAAUUUGAUGUAUCUAAACUAACAUUUGAAUUUAAAUAACUCAGAAUACAAACUCACAUGUAAAUUUAAAAAAUGUCUAUAAUGCUUUAAACUAAAAAAAUGGUUUAAUUAAAUUAAUGGUGUUUUAAUUAUGUAUUAAUUAUUUCGAUAGUCCUUUACUUGUCUUUUAAUUUUAAGGGAGUUAUGAUUUUACCACUUCUACCAAAAUCAAAAUCAAAAUAAAAUCUGUGUGCCAAAAAAAUUUUAAAAUUUAAAAAAUAAAGGAAGUUAGAAUCAAAAUGUACUAAACUUAAAUCAGAACAAAUCUUGAAAGACUUAUAUAAAAAUUGAAACAUAAAAUUUGAAAAUUUGUAAACAUGGUCCUUAUCAUUAAAAUAAUGUUGAAACAAACCCUUUGCACCUGAAACCAAAUCAAUAAUUAAAACUUUUAAUUUCCAUAAUCUAAUCAACCUCAAAUACCGUUUCUGUUGCUUGCAAAUUAUUAUCAACCAAAAACAGUACAUGUAUAACAUGAUUGUAAUUAAGUUCAUAAUUAAGCAGAGGUGGACGUAUAGACGGGGUUUGUGCAUGGCAUUGAUCAAUUUCAUUGGGAAAGGAUUUCAAAUGGCUUUCACGUCAUGUGUACUUGUUGGCCACUUAACCCCUGAAUUAAGAUCACUUCCCUUUCUAGACAACAAAUCCUUUUUUAAUGUAUUUAUGGGGAUUAUGUAACUCAACACUUGCUUCUUUGCUUUUUUUUUAUAUUAUGAAUUAUGAAUUUUUUAUUUUCUAAUAAAAUUUAGAUUAAAAUAUUUAUUUUUAUUAGGGUAAAGUCCAUUAACCUUCUAAGUUUGUAAAAACUACACUUCGGCCUAUAGAUGAAAAAUAUCCACUUACUCCUCUUGAGUAUUAAUAAAAACCACAUUAAACCCCCUAAAUUUUAAAUACAAAACAAUUAUACCUUUAUUAAUUAUUAACCUUGUAUCUUUUUUUAUAUCUUUUAAACUUUUAAUUGCAAAAUGAUAAAACUAUCUUUAAUUGCUAUAAAAUUAAAUUAUUCUCAUUCAAGUAAAACUUGAAUAUUUUGAACUCAUGCUUGUAUUCAAAUGAGGAAUAAUAUUUGAUGCACUAUCAAUGCACCACAAUUCGCCACAUCAUAAAUAAGUAAAUUAUUAAAAAGUUGAAGGAAUAAUUACUUAAAAUUAUAUUUAAACGUAAUUAAAAUUAAUUAUAAUUCCUCAUCUUCAUCUCUUAAUAACAAUACUAAAAUUUUAACUUAGGGUUCUAAAAAUUCUGAAAAUAAAAUCUUAUAUUGAACGAAAAUGGUUCUUUUUCUUAUUCUUUAUUAAUAUUGGCGCAAUUCAAUUUUAUUAGCAGAAUGAAUUUGAAGGCAUGAUCUUAUUACACUGUUAAAAACUUUGUUUAUAUGAUUCUGGAUUUUGAGAAAUUUGUGAAUUGUUUUACAAUUUAAACUCUUUUAAUCGGUUGCUUAAACAAGUAAUAUUCCAAAAUAUAAUGCUAACUAUUAUUUAUUGAAAGUGCUAAAUUUGACGUGCAGUAACUUAAAAAAAACUUCUAUUAUACAUGAGAUUCUUUUAAAAAAAAAGAAUUGUUUAAGAUAACCACCUCUUGCUUCAGCUAAUAUAUGAAAUUUCAUAUAAAUUUCAAUAUUUUUUUUUUGGAUUUUUAGUUAAUUCUUCGCUUCAACUCAAUUUUAACCCCAAACUCAAAACUUAAUCAUAUAAAUUUCAAUAAAAUUUUUAAGAUUUAAUAUUUUACCCAUUUUAUGAUAAUACAUAAGGAGGAAGAUAGGAAAUCUAUAAAGGGAGAAUUAUAAUUAAUUUUUUUAUGUUUAAAUAAAAUUUUAAGUAUUUAUUAUAAAGUCCUUCAACUAUUUAAUAUUUUACCCAUUAAUGAUGUGGCAAAUUGUUGUGCAUUAUGUAGCACUUUCAUUUUCGACUUGAUCGUUGGUCCGAGCUAAGGGAUGUCACAUUCGUUGUCGAAGCAACUACAAUCAAUUUACAAUCAAAUUAUGCAAUUUAUUGAUAUGAGUCAACAAUUAUAUAUUCAAUGUGAAAUACAAUCGUUCCCAAACUUUGUACGAGUUUACGAAAGCUCUAAAAUAAAGUUAAAAUAAAAAAGGACUAAAAUGAAAAGUUUCAAAAUUUUAGGGUUGAUGUCGUGACGUGGGGGAGUUCCUUGUCACAACGUGAUCCACAGUCUUACUCUCAUCGCGUCGUGACCUGGGCUUACCCUCAUCUUGACGUCUUGAUUUUUUUACGUCACAACGUGGAUCCCUCGUUGCAACGAUGAACGAACAACGUCGCAACGUCACAAGCUGUUUAUGACAAAAUAACUUACAAACCUGUAAUUUUUAAAACAACACAAAAUCAAGCUACAUGCAUCCUCAAAAUGACCAAAUGAACAAUACUUAGGCUCUUUAACAUGUCCACACUUUAUUCAUAACAUAUCUAAAUCACCAAAAUUGUAAUUGCAACAGCCCGUUUUCAGUGAAAUCAGAACAGUAGUUUCGGGACCACAAAUAUGAGGUCUGAAGAAAAUUUAUUUUAAUAUUAUUUUAUAGUAUAUGGUAUGAUAGGAAUGUUGUAUGAAAAUUUCAUUAAAAAAUUUUAUCGAUUACAUAGGCGUGUCACUUGGCCGUGUGAGCCACACAGCCUGACAACAUAGGCAUGUGUCCCCUGCACCUAAGGAAAAUUUUGACAUUUCGUGAAAAAUUCUCUGAGUUCCCAAUUUAGUCCCUACUUGUUUCUAAUAUAUAUUUUGGGCCUCAAGGGCUCAUGUAAGGGACAACGUGAGUGAAUUAUGAUUGGUUUCCGAUAUGUGUAUUAAAUGAUAUGAAAUGUUCGUAAUUGAUCUGAAAAGCUCAGUAAUGAUUCGUAACCCUGUUUUGGCGACAGAUAAGGGUUAAAGGUAUUACUUUUAUUGGUAUUAGAGCUACAUUUAGCCGAUUCUCGGACUAACAUAGCAAGUACGAGUCUAGCAAUACAUACCAUUAUAUAAAUUAUGAUAGUGUGAUGUCUCCUGAUCAUUUUAAACUUGUUUUUCAUAUAGUAAUAUCGUCCAACCGAGCUGAAUCCGAGGAAGCUGAGAGUAAUGCUUAAGCUUCAGUACAAAUAGCAGUAUCUAGUAGUAGAAAGCCCGUAUCUGAGGGCCAAGGAGGAGAGGCAAAAAUAGGCCUUCUUCUAAAUAAUGAAUGAAUGGUUUACAGAAUUUGUAAGAACAAAUCUAGCUGUACAACAACCUCCCCCUCCUGUCUCUCAACCGGUUCUUGAUAUGCCACAAGGUACAAAGUUUGUUAGAAUCAGUAAGCCUCCGGUAGAUAAAAUUCGUAAAUAUAGGGCAGAAGAAUUUAGAGCUACUGUUGAUGAUGAUCUUGAAAUGGCUAAAUUUUGGUUAGAAAAUACUAACAGGGUUCUAGAUGAAUUAUCUUGUACACCGAUCGAAUAUUUGAAAUGUGUUGUAUCCCUGUUAAAAGAUUCAGCUUACCAAUGGUGAAAUACACUGAUUUCUGUUGUGCCAAAAGAACAAGUUACGUGGGAAUUCUUCCAAACUAAAUUCAAAAAGAAAUAUAUCAGCCAAAGGUUUCUUGAUCAGAAAAGGAAAGAAUUUUUGAAACUUAAACAGGGCUGUAUGACAGUACCCGAAUAUAAAAGAGAGUUUGUUCGAUUAAGUAAAUAUGCCAGAGAAUGUAUCCCAACCGAAGUCGCAAUGUGUAAGCGAUUUGAAGAAGACUUGAUAGAAGGCAUAAAGCUGUUAGUUGAGAUUCUGAAAUUAAAAGAAUUUGUCGUAUUGGUCGGUCGAGCUCACAAAGCUGAAGAGCUGAGUAAAGAAAAGAGACAAGCUGAGAUGGAAACUAGAACUUCAAGUAAAAGAUUUACUGAAAAGUCAUAUAAGUCGACCGCAAAGAAGUCAAAGAAACAUCAUGAUCGAUCUGCUACCUCUGUAGGAUAUUCUAGGAGAAAUAAAAGUACUUGAUACUCUAGUCCAAUAUCUCAGGCUACAUCUGUAGUAAGUGCAGAUAGUAUUAGAAACACUAAACCUAAAUGCAAGCAUUGUAAUAAAUUUCAUUUUGGAGAGUGCCGUAUGAAAAGCAGAGCUUGCUUUAGAUGUGGUUCUUUUGACCACUAUCUCAGAUACUAUCCGAAAAAGCUUGAGAAAGAUACUGUAUAGACUUCAAAGCCAAGCAACCCCGCCUCAAGAGGUAGACCACCUCGUAACCCCGAUAAUAUUAGUGAUGGUCGAGGUACAAGAAAAGAUUCAACUGCUAAAUCUGAAGCACGAGCACCAACAAUGACACAUGUUAUUCGUGCAAGAGAGGAUGCCUCUGCACCAUACGUCAUUACUGGUACUUUUUUAAUUGAUACCAAUAUAACUGCUUUACUUGAUCCUGGUUCAACUCAUUCACACAUCUACACGAAUUUAGUGUUUAUUAAUAAUUUACCUGUUGAGUCCACUAAAUUCGUAGUUAAAGUUUCAAUCCCCCUGGGCCAGUAUGUGAUAGUGGAUAAAAUUUGUAAAAAUUGUCUAUUAAUGGUACAGGGUUAUUGUUUCUUGGUUGAUUUGAUGUUGUUGCCAUUUGAUGAAUUUGAUGUAAUUCUGGGUAUGGACUAUCUAACUCAGCAUGAUGUUGUGGUAAAUUGUAAACAUCAAUAUAUUGUGUUAAAAUGUCAGAAUGGUGAGUUACUUCGUAUCAAAUCUGAUAAACUGGAUGGGUUGUCUAAUGUGAUCGCUAUAUCAGCAUGAAAAUAUAUUAGAAAAGGGUAUAAUGCUUACCUUGCUUAUGUGUUGGAUACUAAUGUGUUUGAAUCAAUUAUCAGAUCAGUGCCAGUUGUUUGUGAAUAUCCUGAUGUGGUUCUGGAGGAGUUACCCGGAUUAGCACCAGUCAAAGAGGUUGAAUUUUCUAUAGAUCUUGUUCCAGGGACAACUCCUAUAUCUAUAGCACCUUACAGAAUGACCCCUACAGAGUUAAAAGAGUUGAGAGCACAGUUGCAUGAAUUAAUUGACAAAGGCUUUGCUCGACCCAGUUCUUCACCGUGGGGCGCACCGAUUUUAUUUGUUAAAAAGAAAGAUGGGUCGUUGAGACUGUGUAUUAAUUAUCGACAACUCAACAAAGUUACAAUCAAGAAUAAGUAUCCAUUGCCUCGUAUUGAUGACUUGUUCAAUCUGUUGAAAGGUGCUACUGUGUUUUCAAAUAUUUAUCUCCAUUCUGGUUACUAUUAGUUACGAGUGAAAGACUCAGAUGUACUGAAAACAUCAUUCAGAACUAGGUAUGGACACUAUGAAUUUCUGGUGAUGCCGUUUGGUUUAACAAAUGCACCCGCGGUAUUUAUGGAUCUGAUGAACAUAAUUUUUAGACCAUGCUUGGAUAUAUUUGUGGUGGUAUUUAUUGAUGAUAUUUUGAUAUAUUCUCGAGAUGAAAAUGAACAUGCUGACCUUUUGAGAGCUGUGCUGUAAACUUUGCGUGAGAAACAAUUGUAUGCCAAAUUCAAUAAAUAUGAAUUUUUGCUUCAGGAAGUUGGUAUUCUUGGACAUAUAGUAUCUGCUGAAUGCAUCAGAGUGGACCCGAAUAAAAUUUCAGCAAUUGUUAACUGGAAACCACCGAAAAAUAUGUCUGAAGUUAGGAGUUUUCUGGGAUUAGCUAGUUACUAUCAGAGAUUUGUUAAAGGGUUUUCAAUGAUAGCUUCUCCGAUGACCUGGUUGUUGCAGAAAGAUGUGAAAUUUGAAUGGACUGAUAAGUGUCAGCAGAGUUUUGACAGAUUGAAAGCCUUGUUGACUGAAUUACCGUUCUAGUUCAGCCUGAAUUGGGUAAAGAAUUUGUGAUUUACAAUGAUUCGUCGUUGAAUAUUUUAGGCUAUGUUUUGAUGUAAGAAGGUAAAGUAAUAGCCUAUGCUUCUAGAUAGCUAAAACCACAUGAAAAGAAUUACCCGAUACAUGAUUUAGAAUUUGCCAACCAUUGUUUUUGCACUGAAAAUUUGGCGACACUAUCUGUUUGGUGAAAAGUGUCAUAUAUUUACUUACCACAAGAGUUUAAAGUAUUUGAUGUUGUAAAAAGACUUGAACUUGAGAUAGCGCAAGUGGCUUGAAUUAUUGAAAGAUUAUGAUCUGGUUAUCGACUAUCAUCCGGGAAAAACAAAUGUGGUUGCAGAUGCUUUGAGCAGAAAGUCACUGUUUGCUUUACGACCAAUAAAUACCUGGUUUUCUUUAUUUUAUGAUAGUUCAAUUAUAGCUGAAUUACAAGCUAAACUGAAAUUUCUGCAGCAGAUUUGUGAAGCUCAGAAAAAUGAGGAUGAAUUACAAGCUAAACGGGUAUAGUGUGGAUUAGUUUUUGAUUCAAAAUUUUGGAUUGGUUCCAAUGAUUGUCUAUUAUUCAGAGGUAGAAUAUGUGUACCGAAGAAUUCUAAACUUGUACAGAAAAUUUUGAACGAAGCUCAUAAUGAUACUAUAUCUGUUCAUCUAGGAAGUAAUAAAAUGUACAAUGAUUUGAAAAAGAUGUACUGAUGGCCGGGAAUGAAACAUGAUAUUUUUGAAUUUGUAUCUAAAUAUUUGAUAUGUCAGCAAGUUAAAGCUAAACAUCAGAUACCUUCGGGUUUAUUGUAGCCAGUGACGAUACCGGGAAAGAGUUACUAUAGACUUUAUAUCAAGAUUGCCCUUAUCUCCGAAAAAGAAAGAUGAUAUUAAGGCAAUCAUUGAUCGUGUGACAAAGUCUGCACACUUUAUUUCGGUACGUAUAGAUUACUCUCUGGACAAAUUAGUAGAAUUAUAUGUUUCUGAAAUUGUCAGGCUAUAUGAAGUGCCGGUUUCCAUUAUUUUAGACAAAGAUCCUCGGUUUAUAUCUCGAUUUAGGAAUAAGUUACAAGAAGCUCUGGGUACACAACUACAUUUUAGUACCGCAUUCCAUCUUUAGACUAAUGGCCAAUCUAAACGUGUGAUACAGAUUCUAGAAGAUAUGCUCCGAUGUUGUGUUUUAGAAUUUGAAGACAGUUGGGAAAAAUAUCUUCCUUUAGUCGAAUUCGUAUAUAAUAAUAGUUAUCAAUCCUACAUUAAAAUGGCAUCGUACGAGGCUCUGUAUGGUCGUAAAUGAAGAACUCCAUUGAAUUGGACUGAACUUAGCAAGAAAAAGACACCUGGAGUUGAUUUGAUCCGUGAGAUUGAAGAAAAGAUGAAAGUGAUUUGGGAUAGCUUAAAAGCAGCCUCUGAUCGUCAAAAAUCUUUUGCUGAUCUUAAACAAAAAGUGAUAGAACUUCAAGUUGGCGACAAGGUAUUCUUGAAAGUAUCGCAUUGGAAGAAAGUUCUUCGGUUUGGCCUUAAAGGAAAACUAAGCCCACGGUUCAUCGGACCAUAUGAGAUCAUUGAAAGAAUCGGGCCUGUUGCAUACCGAUUAGCAUUAUCACCAGAGCUUGACAGAAUUCAUAAUGUUUUUAAUGUGUUUAUGUUGUGACGGUAUCGGUCAGAUCCUUUGCAUGUUAUUUCUCCGAAAAAAGUUGAGAUUUAGCCUAACAUGACUUACAGUGAGGAACUGGUUAAAAUUUUGGCACGUGAGACGAAAGAAUUGAGAAAUAAAAAGGUAGCCUUAGUAAAAGUUCUUUGGCAACGACACGAGAUAGAAACAAUAAGAAAGCAAUAUCCGAACCUCUUUACUGGUAAGAUUUUCGAGGAUGAAAAUUCUUUAAGGGGGAGAGUUGUAACAAUUUGUUUUCAGUGAAAUUAGAAUAGUGGUUUUGGGACCACAAAUUUGAGGUUAAAAGAAAUUUUAUUUUAAUAUUAUUUUAUAGUCUAUGAUAUGAUAGGAAUAUCAUAUGAAAAUUUCGUUAAAAAAUUUUAUCGAUUACACGUCUAAUUUGUUAAAAAUGACUAAAUUGAAAAAGAUGCAAAACUUAUUAAUUAAAAGAAAUAGUGAUUAAAUAGCUUAACCAAUAAAUAAGGAGAGACUUAUGCCAAAAGCAAAUGGCUGAGGCGGCAUAAGCCUUAAAAAGAUGAAAAAAUGGUGUGAACUAAGGGCAAAAUUAGAAAUUUUGCCAAAUUUAAUGAAAUAAAUGAGAAAUUAAAGAAUUCUAGACAUUUCAUCAUCAUUGUCAAUCCUAAAAACAGACAUUGAAGAGGGUUUAAGCUGGUUUUUCAAUUCUUGCUCCAUGUCCAGAUAGACCAAGUUUGGAAUUGGGUCGAGAAAAAUAAAAAGUAUCGGAUUAGUAGCCUACGAACGCGAAUAUUGUCAAGGUAAAUUUGUGUAACUAAAUUGUGUAUAUUUAUAUGUUUGAAUUAAAUGUUAUAUAUGUGAAUUGUAUAAUUUCCAUGUAUAUGAAAUUGAAUAAAAAUCUGAUAAUGCCCGAUAAAUGUUAAGUCCCGUUUGAACAAAUGAAAAUCGAUGGAUACAAGUUUCCCGUAUUGGUUGUAGUCCUACAUAUGUUGCAGACACAACACAGCUCGAAAGAGCGUCUUGUUAUUAGCCCUCUCGAGCUUCCCGUUAUAUGGUUCUUACAAGCUUCCCGUUAAUAGCUCAUCGGAGCAUCCUGAUUGGUUGUGAGCCUACAUGUGUUGUGGACACACCGCAGCUCUUAUGAGCUUCUCGAUUAUGGCUUUUUGUGAGGUUCCUGUUAAUUGGCUCUUUGUGAGCUUCCCGAUAUGGCUCGCUUGAACUUCCCGAUAUUAAGCUAUCCAAAGCUUCCCAUUUUUGGCUCUUUGAUAUUGGCUCGCAUGAGCUUCCUCAAUAUGGCUCUUAUGAGCUUCCCGUUACAUGGCUCACAUGAGAUUCCCAUUACAUGACUCACAUAAGCUUCCCGUUAUAUGGCUCGAGAGAGUGCUUCCCGUUUAAGUGUUCUUAUGAGCACUCCCGAAUAUGAAUUGACGGAUUACAGAUUCGUACACUUCAUUAUGUACUACCCGAUGUCCAUCGAUAUUCCAUAAGGUUCAAUGGGCAAAGUUCUAAUAUAAGUUAAGAUAAGAUCUGAAUGAAUCAAUAAUUGUAUUUACCUGAAAAUACAUGGAAAGGUUUAUACGAUGAGCUCAUCCCUGUUACUUGAAAUGCACAUGAAAUACAUUACUAACAUGCUUGAUGAAUAUAUGUGUUUAGGCAAUUGGCCAAGUUGCUUUGGAUGCAUGUUUAUUUGUAUGCUUACAAUUGUGAAAUAAAGGUAAGUUAAAUUACAUGUUAUACGAACUUACAAAGCUUAAAAGAUUACUUUGUUUUAUUUCCUCUAUUUUAUAGUACUCGAAAGCUCGUGAAGAUUAGAACUUGGUUGGAGUCAAAUCACACUAUCCCUCGGACUUCUCGGUAUAUAAAGUAAGUUAAUUUUUGCUUAGAAUGACAUGUAUAAGUUAAAUUGGCCAAAUGAUGGCAUAUAAAUACUUGGUUGGAACUAGCCAUUGGAAUGGCUCGUAAUAGUUAUAUUUUGAAAUAUAAGUAUAUAUAUGUGUGUAGCUUUAUCAUGCUUGGUAUGUGUUUGAAAUGGUUAAGUGUUGAAAAGCAUAUAGAUAUGGAUGGUUAGAUUUAGUUAGUAUAUUUAGUCCAAUAUGCAUAUAUGUGAAAUGGGUUAAUUUAGUAAGUUUGAAUACUUAGUUAUAUGUGAUAUUACGUCAUACUUAAUACAUAAAUUUGGCUUGAUUUGAAUGGUUUGAAUUGGUUGGUGAACAUGUUUAAGUGUUUAUGUAGGUAGAAGGCAAUUUGGGUGAGAAAUAAGGCUUGGGAAUGACCUUAUUUUGUCUACACGAGCAGAGACACGGGCAUGUGGUUUGGCCGUGUGAUCUCUGCAUCUUGAAAAUUAAUUAAAAAAUGCUCUGAAUUGCCCACACGGGCAGAGACAUGGGCGUGUGUCUCAGCCGUGUGACCCUUGCACCUAAUUAUUGUAAAUUAAAUUGUUCACACGGCCUAGCACAUGGGCAUAUGGCUUGGUCGUGUGACCUAAGUUAGAGAGUUACAUGAGUAUGGAUACGGGUUGGGACACGGCCGUGUGCCUCACAUCGAAUGCCCACACGGCCUGGGACACUCACAUGGCCUGACCACACGAGCGUGUGCCCCCUGCACCUAAGGAAAAUUUUGAAAUUUCACGAAAAAUUCUCUGAGUUUUCGGUUUAGUCCCUACUUGUUUCUAAUGUAUAUUUUUGGCCUCGAUGGCUCAUAUAAGGGACAAUGUGAGUGAAUUAUAAUUUGUUUCCGAUAUGAGUAUUAAAUGAUAUGAAAUGUUCGUAAUUGAUCUGUAAAGCCCAGUAAUGCUCCGUAACCUUGUUCUGGCGACGGAUAAGGGUUAGGGGUGUUAUAGUAACACUCCAAAAUAUAGGGGGUUAGAUAAAAUAAAUAAUGAAAGAAUGACUUACUCUAGAUGAUUAAGUUGUUAGUGCACUUCUUAAAGGUCUUAGGUUCUAUCCACACCUCUUCCAUUUCUGUUCUUUUAAUUUUUAGCAAACAAAGAUUAUACUAAAAUAAAUAUUAUUUGGACUGAAAACUUAACAAGUGUGAGCAGUAGCCCAAAUGGUUAAGCCUUUGCAUCUUUCCUUUAGAUUCCUAAAUUUAAGUCACGCUAAUCUCCACUAUUUCCUUUUUAAAAUUUUGGCCAAAAUUGGGUAUUUUACCCACAGCUCCUUAAAAGUUUGAAGACCUAGCUAUUUAUUCAUUCUUAUCCUAAUUAUCCUUGGAUUUUGACUUCAUUUCUAAUUCAAAUUGAACUCUCCCUCUUUUCCCUUUAUAUUCUUCUUUUCCUUUCUUCCACUUUCCUUUUCAUCAAGUUUUUCAUUUAACUACUGCAAUUAUUUUUGUUCCCGAAUAAAAAAUUAUUCCUAAUAUUAACUCGUUUUAUCACUAGAACCGUAAUCGUCAUUAGAAACCCCUCAAUCUCUGCCAAGAAGCGUUAAGUACGCCUCAAAUCCCAAAGUUGAUCUUGAAUCUUUAUAGAUUUUCUAUCUAAUGAUAAUCUUGCGAUCGAUUAAAAUGAUCCUUCUCGAUUGUUCAUCAAAUCUUUCGAUAAUCUUGAUGAUUCUUGAAAACCGUUAUUACUUCUUGUGUAAAUCCCGUUUGAAGGAUGCAAUUUAGGUACAAAAGUGUCAACUUUGUGGUCGAGUUGGACACAUUGUACAAAAGUGUUAUUGAUGCAGUUGUAAACUAACUAUAAAUUUGAAUAAGGCAAGUGCACCUAUCAAUUAAUAGUAUAGCUACGGUGAGCAAAGAUAUCGUUCCCACGAUGACUAAAAGUACUAGUAAUUACUAUCUUUCUAUUAUUUCACCAACAAAUUGGAGAGAUUGAUUAAAACUAAAAUUAACUAAAUUAAUUAACUAAAGAACACGACAAAGAAUGAAUCAAGAAAACAAACAUUAACAACCAAGAAGCGAAACAAUACCUAGGAAAGAAUCCACCUAGAUUUCAUCUGUCAUUAUUAAUCUGAAUUAAACAAUUUCUUCACUUAGUAUCUUGAUCUGUAGAAAUCCCUAAAUUAUGCUAAUAUCUCUUUCGAGAAUAAGAGCAACUGACUAUAGGUUGAUUAAUUGAAAUUUCUUUCUAAUUAAAACCCCUGUUAUCGCAUUAACUCGAUCUAUAGAUCCCCUUAUUAGAUUUGACUCUAAUCUGGUAGAUUUAUAUCGUCCUAUUUCUAGGAUUGCAUGCAACUCCACACAAUUAUGUUAGAUCUACUCUUAAACAAUGACUUUUCCUCCUCUGAUUUAAGCACAUCAAACAUGGAUUAAUAGUCCAGAAAUAUUAAACUAAUAAUUAAGCACACAUAAUUGAGAAUAAGAUUCAAGUAUUUAUUGCGUAAAACAUAAAUCAAAAGACAAAAUCCAUCCUAGGGUUCAUUUCCCUAGGUAUUUAAAAAAAUUAGUUCAUAAUCGCAAAUAAAAACUUCUCAAAAAUAAUAUAACCACAAGAAAUAAAGAAACUUAUAAUAAACUUCAAAGAAAUCAAAAGAAGAUCUUCAAUCUUGAUGGAAAUCUGCUUCAAAGUUGGCUUCAAUGGUGUUUUUCGAGUUGUUUUCUUGAGUAUUCUCUGACGGCUCUCUCCUCUCUUUUUAUCUUUGUCAUAUAUAUGUUUUAAAAUGCCUGAAAAACCUAAAAAACGCGUUGUCCCGUAGGUUUAGAGUGCAAUUCGCGAUGUCAUAUAUAUAUAGUCUCACUUAUCAGGAAAAGAAGCUACUUCUAGAUUGUCGGCGCAAAUACAUUGUGUGAACCUUCUAACUGCAACACUUUUUACUCUUUCCUCCUUGUAUUAAACUAAUAUUAGAAUUUAUUAAUAAAAUUAAAAUUUGUUCAAAAUUUACCGUAAUUAUUAAGAUAUCCUGGGAUAUCAUUUCCUUAUUUCAUAUAUUUUCAUUUCUUUUCUAUUAUUUUUUAUCCUUAAAAAUUUUAAUUAAUGUAUUUAAAAUAGUUUUUUAAUGAAGUAAAGUAAAAUUUAUAAGAUUUAAUAUGUGCAUGCAUAAAAUUGAUUAAAGGAGAAGACAAAAAUGAAAUUGCCAUAAAUGAGAUUUUAUUAAAAAUAAACUUACAUUUAUUAACUUGAAAAAUAUAUUGUAUUUUACAUAUAGUAGAAUAUAAUUUAGUUAUAGUUUAAUGUAUUAAUAAUUAAAAUAAUUUUAAAACUAAUUUGUUUAUUUAAUUUUUUAAUUAAUAAAAAAUUAUUUAAAAUUCACCAAAUUUAAUAUUUGCUAUAAACGAAAUAUACUACUUCAAAACGAAAUAGUUAGCAUUGACAGAUAAAUAAAUUAAGCGUAAAAAGAAAAUAAUCAUUGUUCUUCCAAAGCAAAUCUGUCAUGAUCGGUAUAAUGGUGUAGUGGACGUCGCCCCCAAGGUUAACACAAUACUUCAAUAUUUGUACAUUUAAAUAAAGAAGGUGAAACAAAAUUGGUAUUGCUCUUCUCAAAAGUAUUCAAAAAAUUAGAGUGGAAACUAAAGAUGAAAAUUUGGUCGGAAAUUUGAUUGGAAAAGUGUUCUGAACAGAAAAUAGGCGAGCUAAGAAAGGCGAAGAAGAGAUUGUUGUUUGCUUGUUGUUGUGGAAAAAUGAGAAAAAUGACCUACUAUUUAUAUUGUUUUCUGAAGGGAUAAAAUGGUAAAAUAACGGUGUCAGUUUCCAAAAAUAGCAAAGGAUUUUCCUUAAUCGAAAAUAUUCUGCAACAGAAUACUUUUUGGAAUUGAAAAAAAUCUUGAAAAACAAAAAAAAAUUAUGAUAAAAGGAACAUAAAUUUUAUUCACAAAGAAAACAUGCGCAAUAGUGUUGUAAACACGUGUUAACUAGGACACAAACUGAGCAACGGCGGUAACACGUGUAUAUUAGACCUUUAACCCCAAUUUACUCAAUAAGAAUUAGAGACAAGACUAUAUUUAAAUUCCUUUAAAAAUAUUUCCUCAAUCAAUGUGGAAUUACCAAUUUUGUUUAAGUGUUAAUUUACUCUUUUUUUUGUUUUUUUAAUCUUGAAGAGGAGUGAUUCUAACUUUUGUUUCACAAAUUAGAUGUUAGUAAGGCGCGUUGUUGAAUUAAUAGAAUUGUUUAGUUGGCACAAAUUAGAUGUUAUUUAGGUUGAUGAGAAGCUAAAAAAACAACACAUCACCACCCACCGGAGCAAAAUAAACAACAGACGUAAAGUGCAAAGAGAUAUCCCAGAAGACAAAAAUGAUUGAUUUUGCAUUUAAAUUUAGGACAUUCGACAUUGAACCAUGUUUAGAUGUCGGGUAGUGUAUAUAUAUACACUCCACAAUCUACAAAACUUCACAGCUGUUUCAUUAAUUGAUAAUUAAUUUCCCAUUUUCCUUUCCACCUUAAAUGUGUGAUCACAUGAUCCAAAGGGAUUGUCAUAAAAAGUUAUACGAGGUUAUAAGGAGAAUUGACCUCGUAUUUGAAGACAUUGAGAUCAAGGAUAUCGAAUCAAAACAACUUUAAAAGUGUCUGUUUCGUUUCCUGUCGGAUUACAAUGUUAAUCCUUUAAAGCUUGCAUCAACUUUAAAUUAACUCCUUAAAACAUCUAAUUACAAUUUAUUUUAAAACCAAUACUUUUAUACUAAUUAUUUAUACUUAAUUAGCAUCACUUUAGAUAAAGUGAAUUUUGAUGCCCAAAAGCUAAGCAAUUAAACAAUAAUUUAUGGAAUAAAGAAAAUAUUCUCUUUGAACCCCCUCUAUUAUUUUUUAAUUUUUUUAGUUAAUGUCUACAUUUGUCCCUAUAUUUUAGGUAAAAAUUGAGAUUUGUUAUUAUAUUUUAUUUUGAUUGAUAUUUGUUAUUUUACUUUUUAAUUAAAGAGAAUUUUACCAUUAUUUUUUUAACUCUCUAUUAAAUUUUUCCUAGUUUUAUCUUUAAAUUUUUGCUAUUCAAAUUUAAUUUAAAAUAAUUUAAAGAUAAUUUUUAAUUAAAACAUGUUUUUAAUGUUUUAUUUUAAUAUUUAAAACAAUAAAUUAAUUAAUAUAAUUUUAAAAAUUAAAGUUAUGUUAUAUUUAACUUUCAAGUCUUUUAAUUUAAUAAAUAAAAAUUCUAAUUUAAUUUAUUAUAUUUUAUAAAUUAAGUUAUGGUUAACUAUUAAAAUAAAAUAUUUGAAAGAAUAUUUUUCUUGUUAAAAUUUGUUUUCAAAUAAUCAAAAUCAAUAUUGGGUGGUAAAUUUUAAUUAAAAAAAUCAAAGUUGGUGGAAAAUUUCAAAAAAAAUUCAAAUUUUAGUGGCAAAAUUCAAUCACAUUAAAGUUGAUUGACAAAUUUACGUAUAUUCUCAAAGUAUAACGACAAAUUUAAAUUAAAAUAAAGUAUAAUGGUAUUGUGGGUCCUCUCUAAAGAGGUAAACGAAAGGACUAGCCACCAAAUGUGCUCCAUUCUCAUGAAUGAGGAUCAAACUCCCGACCAUAAGAUUGAAGGAUGAGGUGAGCAACCACUACACCAUACCUUAUUGUUGGCAAAUAUUGUAAAAAUACAAACAUCAUUCAAGUGCCAUUAAGCAUUUUCAUGCAUAAGUUGACAUUUUAACUUGCAAUUAUGUUUGACCUCCAACCUUAUCUUGGAAAGUAUGAACUGAAAUUUCAUUAAUACCACAAAGAACAUGAGAAAGGAUUGUACGAAACAGAGAUAUUAUUCAUUUCUAAUAGUUUUAUGUCACAUCAAUAAUUUUAUCCUGAAUUUCAGGAUUUUAAUUUGGAUCUGAUUUUUUUCAGGACGAAAAUGCUAAAAUUCAGGAUAAAACGCUGAUGUGGCUCAAAACUAUUGGAAAAGGGGUACAGAUGAUGUGGCGUCACUGUUUCAUACAAUCUAUAACGCCCCAAAAAUCUAAGUCUUUAAUUUUUGCAUGAUUUAACACAAAUUGUUUGUUUGCUUUAAUGACUAAGUGAUUUGGGUGUGUAUGAGAGUGUUUAAGAAGCUUGGGUUCAAGUCUUGGCCUUGGCAGAAUUUUUAGUUUUCCUCCUAACUGGAUCUGGUCACUGGCACAUAGGCCUUAUAAAUAUUAGUGCUUGAUUUAUGAUACAAAAAGGGCUUGUGGUCUAGUGGCAAGGUGGCGUGUGGUGAAACUAUGAGGUUUGAGGUUCAAGUCUUGGGUUGUACAAUAAAAUAUUUUUUUUGCUACUUGUAGGUAAAGGAGUUAGACUGAAACACAGCUAAUGGGAGUUUGAAUAAAGUUUGAAUAGAGUUGUUGGGGGAGUUGGAGGAGAAAUUGGUGGAGUGAAUCAAUGAGGAAUAAGGGGAGAGAUUUUAGGAGAAAAUCAAGGAGUUGUUUGUGAGGAGAGUUGUGUCGUUUUGGGAAAACUCUAGCUAGAGGUUUCAGCUGGGGGUUUGCUUGUGCCGAAUUUCGUUAGUAGGCACUGUGGUAAUCAUUUUUUGAAGUUGUUAUCUUUUUGUCAGUUUUGGUUUCGGUCAUUUUUGUGUUCUUGCCUUUUCGCUUUAAGGUGCCAAUUUUGCCAAGUUUGGGAAGUACCUCUCGGGUUUUUGCUUUCUUUUUCUGCUCUUUCUUUUCCUCUUCCCCUCUCCUCUUGUUGUCGAAUUCUCUUUUCUCUCUCUCUUCUCUUCUUCUUUUCUAGUCGUAUAUAAUUCUCUUUCUAUCUUUAUUUUCUACCUCUUUUUAUUUUCUUUUAGAUUGAUAAGCUAUCUUCAUUUAUUGUCUGUGGUUCAAUUGUAUAUCACCCUUCUCUGUCGGUUCGAACUCAUUGAGGAUUGAGGGAGUAUCAAGUAUUAUCAAGUCGUCGAAACCUUUCUGUCUUCUCUCGAUCUAAGGCAGGUAUGUGGGCUAGCAUUCUAGGGGUAGGUUGAAUGCUUGUUGUAUUUCUGUAAGUUAUCAUGAAGUGGAUUUAAACCACACGAUUAAGCAAUCUUGUCUAAUAAAUCCUUUUGCAAUGCAGAUAUCUGUCAAGAAAAUUUUUGUCAACCUUCAUCAGUGGUAUAAGUGGGCUAAGCCACUUUUGUCAGUCGAGGCAAGUAUUAGUUUAUUUUGGUUAAGGAUGUAAAAGAAAGAGAUUAACCCUAUUGUUUGACAACUAAUGGAAGACUUGAAUGAAUGCAGAUUUUGCGUGUUCGUGGAUCUUAGUGCGUAAUCACAAUUAGGUGUGUAAUCGCCUCACUGCAACCGUAGAUCGGCGAAAAGCUGAAAAGUCGUAAAUACGGCUUUUGAGAGCACACGGGCGUCCAGUAGCUCGAGUGGUAAGCUCAACUUACGAUUCAUGGUAAAAUGACUGAAAUACCCUCGAAGGGUAAAAUGAUCGAAAUACCCUCGAAGGGUAAAAUGACUGAAAUACCCUCGAAGGAUAAAAUGACCGGAAUACCUCCGAAGGGUAAAAUGAUCGAAAUACCCUUGAAAGGUAAAAUGACCGAAAUACCCCCAGAGGGUAAAAAGAUCAAAAUAUCCCCAAAGGGUAAAAUGACUGAAAUACCCUUAUAAAGUAAAAUAAUGUUAUACCCCUAGAAGAUAAAAUGACCGUUAUAGCCUUAUGAUAUGUACGGCUGAUUUGUUUUAUGAUAUAUAUAUGAUUGUUACUGAGUAUGACGUUCUGCAUUCACGAAUGGUCUAUGACGUGACAUAUUGCAUGGGGUUGGGAUUUUGAUAUAUGGAAAGUAUACUAUAUUAGUGGCUUGGCCACAUAUACUGUUACUGGCAGCUUUGCUGCGAUUCUAUUACUGGCAACUUUGCUGCGAUAUUGGUGUGUUGGAUGGGUGGGUCGAUUUUAUCCCCACAUGGUGUGUUGGUGGUACAGAGUGCUGUGUUGACUGGAUUGGGAUGGAUUGCAUUAUUGCAUAGUUACUGUAUUGGGCUAAGGCUCGCACAGUUACUGUUUUGGGCAAAGCCCUACACUGUAACUGAAUAGGGCUCAGGCCCAGACUGUUACUGCAUGUUGUAUGCUGACUGUUUGGUAGGGGAUUACACACUGAGUUUUGUAAACUCACUCUCUCCUUUUUAUUGUGCAGGUAAUUCUCAGCAAUAGGCGAUUUGGUGCUGCGAGGGACUCGAAGGUGGCCACACAACUGCUGUUGUUCACACUUGUUUUUAGUUUAAUUUAAAAUUUUAAGUUGGGUUUUGUUUUGUAAUAAGCCUCUAAGUUGGUUUAAAUUUUUAAUUGCGCUUUUGCUUACAUAUAUUAAACUGCUAGUUUAGGAGAAGCAAAUUUUUAAAAUAACUACUGUUUUCAAAGUCACGAGUUUUAAACAAUAGAAUUUAAAAAGCUUCCGUGAUAUAAGAUCAACUUAUUAAAACAAUAUCAGAUAACAAGACAAACAUUUUGACUAGUUGGUUUGUCAAUUAAUAGUAAAGGGGUUUUUUUUAAACUUAGAAACAAAUUUUCACCAACGAGUUCAAAUUUCGAAAGACACUUCAAUAUGACACACCGGAUUCGACCAUAACGUCUAGGCCGGGUUGGGGGUGUUCCACAAUCCUUUCCCCAGAGAACAUUACAGCAAAAGAUCUAACACAAUAAACUACAAUUAUUGGAUCAAACGUCCCAAUUUGAACCACAAAUAGAAACAAUAGGUAUAAACAACAAGGACUUGACUCAUUAGAUUCAAAAACCACAUUGAGCAACAAAACUUCAUAGAAGUUCCACACUAUUAGAUAAGCCAAACAACACCAAUAUAAACUAAAACAAAAAAUACACAACAUGCAAAAUUCCAUCGAUAUUAAGGCAUUUUAUGUAAAAAUAGGUAAGGUUUUGCAUACGUAGGUGAUUCAUCUCUUAUCUUUCAAUAUUAAUCCAUUAUAGUGAAACUUGUUAGUGAAUUCAACUCUAAGCAUGGUCUCACAAGUGUAGGAGAUUCAUCGAACUACGUAAAUAUCUUUAAUGUAUUAUAAUAUUUUUUUAUUAUUGUCUUACAUCUUUACACGUACUAUUAUUGAAGAGAUAAGUCAAUAAUUGUAACAACAGAGUGAGUAAAUAUAAUUUCUAGAUGUAACUACGACAGAACAAAAUAAACAGAGCUCAAUUGUUUACGCACUUAUGUCAUAGGUCUUACCCAAAGAGACAAUCCAUUAUCUUCAACCUUGUACGAAUAUUGAAUUAAGUUCUAUCAGAUAUUGAUAUAGUAACCUUAGCUUUGCACUAAAGAUCUAGAUCUCUCUCCACUAAAAUUUUCCCUUGGAAACUUAGUUUCUAAAACCAAGUAACUCACUUGUUUUACUUACAAAAGGCACUCUAAAUUGUAAUUCCUAUAGAACAAUUUAAGGGCUAAACUCUUGGUACAUAAAAAUUAUGCAAGUCUAUAAUAUAGCACAUUGGCUUUGCUAACAAUAAAUUGUUGAAAAAUCAUGUUUAAAAAAUGGAGCGAAAAAUAAAUCUAGGAAAAAAUCAGAGUUUUAAUUUUUUUUCCAAAAUAAGAACUUGGUUGUGAUAUUUAAAGUAAUAAACAUUUAAUCAAAAGUGCACAUUUUCGAUUCGUCUAGGAUGAACUCUUCGAUCGAGUAGUCUUCUCCGCUAUCCUUAAGCUCACAUCUGUCGAGUGUUGGCUUGCUUCGAAUAAAAAAAUUCACAAAAAUUACCAGUGGGGUAAUUUCACAAUUUCUCUAAACUUUUAGGCGAAGUUGUAAAUAAAAAAUAUCUAUAGAAAUUUUUUGAAAUAAUUAACUAAAACCAUCUCACAUGUAUAAGAUGCCUUUGCCUUUAGAUCCCAAGCAUGCCCACUUCACCACAUUAUUUCUCUACAAUAAUAAACACCAAAAGCGUGUGAGCUUAACCAAGCUCAGUGAGUUCUUAAGAUACUAUAAUAAAUCACAAGCACAAGAGUUAAAACAAGCAUGCUAAAUACACUUAUCGCAUGGCGUCAUCAAACAUUAUAACAUAUUGAUACAUUGGUAACUUGUGAAGUUGAAAAUGCAUAACAAUGGCUCUCACUGGAUACUCGGAUCUCCAUCACACUAUAACUUAAAAGAGUCUACAUGUCCCAAGUAAGUGUUGCUUGAAGCUAACACUGUCCAACACACCAACAUGUCCCAUGAAUGGAGCAAUGCUCUAUAUUCCUUUAUCCCUCCACAUGUCCCAAUAACAAAACACAUAAAAGAGUACUCAAAUCCUACGAAAUGCCGACUAUAUCCAAUGUUUUCAAAGGUUCAUAAGGCGAAUAUAUCCAUUUCACACAUUAAUUUUUGGUUGAUGCACACUCACACUUAUCAUGUUGAUAUUUCUUAUCACUUUACUGUAAUACACUAAAAGUGCUAACAUAUAGCUCAUUGAGUUAAGCUCACUUUCAUAUCAGAGGUGGGUGCAUAAACCCAACUAUCCACAAGGCAUAUUCAGUCACAUAUUCAACAUAUGUAAUCACAUCACACGCUUAGCCAUUCACAUCACAUAUACUCUUGUUUAUCAAAUAAUCAAAACUCAAGUAAGAAUACUCUUAGGAAUUAGAUCAGAUGUUUUGAUCACCUAAGCCCCUUUUAACUCAUUGUUUUGUGCAUUAAUUAUAGUACACAAGAUUACUUAGAUUAGCAACUAUCUUCCAUAACAAAGCUCAAGUUAGUUUUUGUUUGCCUUUAUCCUUGCUUGUAGGGAUUGCCAAAUGAGUUGGCACUUUAUAUACAGAUCAAAUGCAUUACAAGGCAUUACAAACAACAACAACUAAGAUUACAUCACUCUAAAAUCACAUAUCAAAACCUCUAGAUCUUUAUACCGAAAACUUAGCUAAUUUUGCUGAAAAUACGAUUUCAGCACUCAAAUCUUGUUUCAAAACCUUAAUUUCGAUCUUAAUCUUCCUAAAUAUCAUCAAUUACAUAUUCAAACCUUCAAUUUAAUCAACUUUUGUAGAUCUCAUCCUUCCAGAAAAAUCAAGCCAAAUGAGUUUUAAGGUUCAAAGAUCAUUUGAAUCUUCCAAAAUUACUUAAAGAUUUGCUAAAUUAGGAUUAAAAAUCUUCUAAUAGGAUCAAAAUAAGUUGAAAAGAGCUUUGAAACAAUACUUUAACUCUAUAGAAGGGGAUCCACCAUUUUUAAGCUUAAAAUCUAUUGAUAUGUUAAAAUCGUUAUUAAAUCAAUUAAAACUCAGUCUGAAAAGCUAGCACAUUUGGUUUAUUUAUGAAAAGUCAGAAUGUUACCUCAAUUUUGCAAAAUUGAUGAGCUAUAGAGUUAUUUCAAGUUUGAACGUGCGAAGAACCUUAGAAAAAUUGAAAAUGAAAUCUUAGCUGUUCUUUAAAAUUUAAAGUAUAUUUUGUAUUUGGAGAACUUAGAAAUAAAAAAAAAGAUUAACUAAUUUCGAGAGAAAAACAAGAAUGGUGUUUGGCAAAAAUUUUGAAGAGUUGAAGAAUGAUAGGGAAGGAGACGGUGGGUGGUUUAAAUAACCCAGCAAAAUUUAAAAAUUUGGCUUUUGCCCCUUUGACCACCUACAGUUUCCUCCCUUUUCCAAAUUGGUCCUUGUUUUUAAUACCUGUUUUAACCAAAUCAAUUUCCAAGCACUUAAUUUUAAUCUCUUAACCUAAAAUUUUUCAUUUUAAUUAUUUAAAUAUUUUAUUUAAUUAUUCCUAAUUAUUUAGUUAUUUAACCUAAUUACGAUUUUCGGUUCACUAACCCUUGAUUUACUAACUCAAUUUUUGGGAUGAGACAUAAAUGCAUUCUACUAAUUCAGCUUGGGUUUCACUUCCUCUUCCUAUAAAUAGAUGACACCAGUAGGGCUAAAAACAUAAGAAGUUUUACACAACUUUGAAAUAUUGUUAUUCUGCUCGAAAAUAGUGAGAAUUUAUUUCUAAGUAUAAAUUCUAUUUUCUGGAAAUAAUAAUUCUACCGGUUUCUAUAAAAGAGAGAUUUACUUUCCUACUGAAAGUAACGUAAAUUUUUGGUUCUGUGUCUUAUUCGAAUUUGUUCGAGCCCAUAAUCGAAGAAGUUUGUGGUACGAGAACAACGGAGAAGGUCGUCCGGUUGAAAGCUGGGAACAAUAAGGAUCCGUUUAACUUAAAACAAUGACGCAAUUUUGAGAAAAGUUUAUUGCUAUAAAUAUCACAAACCUGCUUGAUUUUCAAAAUUUUAUUUUUCGCUGUGCAAGAAAAUCAUUUUCGAAUCAGAUUUUUUCUAACACCAACCACCAAACAUGCUACAGUAGAGUUGACCUUUCAACAAUAUAAUCCUUAUUUCAAAGAGGAUGUUUCUUUUAAUGCCCAAUACUUGAUCCAAUCAUAGGAUCCAAGCUAUGCAAUGUCAUAACCCUUACUGGUGAAACUAACGUCACAUAAGCAUCAUACAACCACUCACACAUGCAAUUCAGUACAAACCACAUUCAUAAUAAGCUACAUAAUCAUUUUUAGGAUCCACACAAGCUUACGGAAUCUCUUUUGUUUACCCGAGGGUGAAUUAGGACGAAAUUUUAAACUUUUCAAAAUUUCGGACCAACAUUGCAACUUCAUGGUUUCCACCUCACAACAUCGUGAACUCAGUAGGUCACGUCGUGACUUUGGGUAUAUUAACGUCACUCACUAUCGGCCUAUGUCGCGACAUUAGGGGUUUGUGGUCACGAUGUUGUCCCUACUUUUGGCAAAAUACACAUUUGGUACCUAUUCACUUGUUUCCAACAAAAGCAUAUGAUUACAUUCAUUCAUUUGCCAAUUCUACCUAUACCAAAUUAUGAUAAAACAUGCUAAAACAAGUUUAUAACAUUUGAAUUCAACCAUUAAAAAUAACAUUCAAUACAUGAUCAUUAUUUAGGUUCAAUCAAUCCAUUUGUUCACCUAAACAUAUAAACUAUGUCAUUCAAGUUCAUCACAUGCUUAGCUAUACAUUGUGGCACACUAAGAACCUAUAUAACCUUAGUAUGAACCAAAAAAAAGCAUACACCAACAAUGUUUCUAGCAUAACAUUUAAUUAUACCAAUUCCAAAAAUUUAUCAACUUAGUUACCCUAAUUGCCUCAAUUUGUAAUCUUUCAUAUACCAAAUCAUGCAAGGUUAUAUCAUCACUCAAACUACCAUGAAACAUGAUCAAUGCCAUACAUAUACCAAGUUAAAAGGAAAUCGUAUUACACAAGAUUAUCCAUACCACAAUUGCCAUAUAACCAACUAUCUAAAAAGACCAUUUGCACACUAAGGUGCCCCUAUAUACAUGCCAAAAAAUUUGGACACAAACAAACAUAAUUCUACCGUAUUUUGAUAGUGUGUACUUCACGCUAAUCUGGCUCGACAGGUUUCGCAAUGCCAUCUACAAUAAGGGAAACAACUAAAGUAAGCAUUAAGAAUGUUUAGUAAGUUCAAAUGAAAAUUCUAUGCUUACCUUGAUCACUUAUAAGUAUAACAACUACCAAUCACUUUGACAUACAAUUUAGCUAUCUUUGGCACAUGAUGUUUUAACUAGUCAUUUGCCAACAUAUUAACAUUCAAAUAGGUUAGACAUACUUGCACAUCAUGAGUAACAUCACUUAAUUCCAAAGUAAGUUCAUGUCACGUAACAAGUUAUAAACAUAUACCAAUUCAUAUUCAAUAUAUUUUCAAGAUUUUCCAUUUCAAUUACGAUAAAUAUUGUUCGAUGGAACUAUAAUAAAACGGACUCGAAUACACAGGUGGACUAUGUUGCUCACAUAUGUUGACAUUAUAUCAGGUUACCCGUCCAAGCUAAACCUAUGUUAAAUAUAACCCAAGAAUCUGCAACAAGGCUAGAUCUCAUUAAAUAACCCAAAAAUCUAUAACAAAUGCUAGAUCUCAUUAUAACCUGUAAAAUCUCUGAUCAAGCACGCAUAUAAACCCUAAUGCAUGCCAAUUGCAUCCUAAGAUUUUACUAAGUUUGCAUGGGCAUUGAUUACAUAUAUUUCAAUAUCAUACCUGUAAUCCAUCAUUUUCAUACAUUUUUACCCUAUAAUUAUUCACAUGUUCCAAUUCAAUCCUUUCUAACCAUAUGUGGCAAACUACUAGUAUUUCACUAUUAACUCAAACAUACAUAUACAUAUAUACAUUAAAUUAAAUGCAAGUAUAUAAAUCACACAAAAUGAAUUGGUAAGUUCCAAGUGAACUUACCUUGUUCAAAAUUUGAAAUAAGUGGAUACUUUAGGGACUAACCCGUAAUUUUAGUUUUUCCCUAUUAGCUCCACUUUGAUCCAAAUCUUGAUCUAUACAAUUAUUUUAUAUCAGCAACCAAUAACAAGCAUUUUGAUACUAUAACCUGAUAUGCAUGAUCUCAUAUAAUUUUAUUUUUUAUUCCCCUCCUAUUUUACAUUUUAAUCAAUUUAGUCCCUAAAAUUCAAUUUUAUAUAUUCUCAUCAGGGACCUUAUACUUUCUAUUUCUAACAUAAUUUCAUGACAUUUUUUACAUUUAUUCAAUUUGGUCACUAAUAUAAAAAGUUACUGAGUUGAUAUGUUAUAAUCAUAUUAUUUGCUACUGUAUUGAACCGUUAUAAGCAUAUUGAUUGUUACUAUAUUGUUUUGUUAAAAGCAUAAUUAAAUGUUAUUGUAUUGAUCUAUUUGAGCUUGUCAUAUUGCAUUGCAUGGGAUGAGACGAUGCGAACGAAGGAAGUUGAGCAGUUUAUCUGCACUGUUGAGUGGUUUAUCCACAUCGUUUGAGCAACUUUUAUCUACACUGUUUGAAUGGCUUAACCACACCAUAUUAGCAACUUCAAUAUGUAAACAUGUUGUGCAUCCACAAUCUUCUGACAGCUUAUCCACAAAAACUUUUUAACAAAAAAAAAAGAACCCGAUGGUUCAUCCACCUUUUUAUACUAGGGCAAUUUUCAAGAACCUUAUACUUGGAACGCAUGACGCGAACCCAUAAAGAAUUUGGCCUUACCACAAAAUUAUAACCAAGCUUCAUCAGAAAAACAUCAUUCUAACCUUUAAGAUCACAAAAAUCGAGACCACCUUUCUGAAUGGGUUCGCAACAAUCAGACCAUCGAGCAAGUGCAGGUUUUUUGUGUGAAUUCCGACUCUCCCAAACAAAACUCCUUGCCAAUUGUUCAAUCUCCAUGCAGAUUGUUAUUGGAAUAAGGGUGGUUUGCAUAAAAUAGUGGGGAAUCAGAAGUAAUACCAACUAUUAAGACAUUUCCGUACUCGUUCAAUAAUAAAUUGGAAAGUGCUGCAAGUAACUUUCCGGUGGAAUAGUGGCAUGCCAGGAUAAGUUCCCAAAUCAUCCCCUCCAUUAAGUUCAAGGCUAAUACAGGUCUGUUCAGCUAAAUAUGAGCACCCAUGUUUCUCGAGAAAUAAAUGUUUGUUUUCUGGGCAUCAACUUUGUGCCCAGAAAAACGUCCAAAGUUGUCCAGAAAAAUGUCCUCUUUAUUGAAAGUACAACAAGGCCUUCUUUUAUUUUAUAAUAUUAUGUAAUUAAUUUUUUUAAAAUAAAAAUAUAAAACAUAUAAAUAAUUCAAGUUUUCAACCAAAUAAAAAAAUUUAAAAAUUAAAAAUUAAAAAUAUUUUUUAAAAAUAAAAUUAUAAAAUAUAUAAGUGUAAAUUCUAAAAAAACAUAUAAUAUAUGAAAUUUAAAAAAAUUAUAAAUAUUUAAAUAAUAUUUAAAUUUAAAAAAAUUUAAAAACAUAUAUUUUAGAAAAUUUGCAAUAAUUCUUUUUUGCAAAACACCCCUCAAAUAUAUCAAAACUUCUAAAUUUCAAAAAAUAUAUAAAAAUUUCAGAAAAUGAACACUUAAAAUCAAAAAAAUAAAAUUUAUAGAAAUUGAAAUUUUGAAAAAGUUUAUCACAAAAAUUGAAAAAAAAAUUCCAAAAGAAAUAUAAAUUCUAGGAAAAUUAUAAUAAUUAAACAUUGAAAAAAAAUUCAAAAAUAUACAUUUUUAUAAAAAUUCUUACAAUAUUAAAAAAUAAACAAAUAUUUAUCAAAGAUCUAUCAAUAUCAAUUAAUAGUCAGUCGAUACCAAUCAACGGUUAAUUAAUGGUAGUCAACCUUGGCUAGCAAUCAUCAAUAGGGGUAGAGCUAAGGGCUGAUAGGAACCCCUUAAAAUAGAAAAAAAAAUCUCUUUUAGCCCUUUAUAAUUUAUAAAAUUUCAUAUUAAUAAUGAUAAAAUUACAUUUUGUCUCCCAAAAAUGAUAAAAAUUUGAUUUAAUCUUUUAAAAAAUAUAAUGAUACAGACUAUUAAAAUUGUGAAAUUACAUAUUUACUAUCGUAAAAAUAUACAACUUAAUUUCGUCUCCCAAAUUUUUUUUGGCUUUGCCCUUGAUCAUCAAAGUCGAUGGUAUAUUUUCUAAAAUAUCUAAGCUUUAAAAAAGAUUUUAUAUUAUACUAGAAAUCUUAUCACAUGCAUAUGCUUGUGAAAACUUAAAACACAAAUUCUUGUUUAAAAAUAACAUACAAUAAACAAUGACUGGUAUGGUUUGAAACUAAUUAUGCAACUAAUGUAGAUAAUAAAUGGUAUGCGUGUGAAAACGUAAAACACGAAUGUUUGUUUAAAAGUAACAUAUAAUAAGCAAUGUCCCGUAUGGUUUGAAACUAAUUAUGCAACUGGUGUAGAUAAUAAAUUGUAUAUAUUAAAAAUGUAAAAAAAAAAUAUGUUAAAAGGAAGUUUUGGUUGAGUGGUAAAUUUAAGGAAUUAGUAAUUCAAUUGGUACGGGUUCAAAUUUCACUAUAUGUAUCUUUUAAUUUAUUUUUGUUAAAAUAAAAAUAUUAAAAUACCCUCAAAUAAUAUAAAUUUUUUAAUUACAAAAAGAUAUUUAUGUAAUUUUUUGAUCGAAUUGGUGACAUGAGAGGGUGAUACCAACACAAUAAAAAACUUAAUAAAUUACAUACAUAUAUUUUAAUUGUUAGAAUUUAUAUAUUAACUUCAAUAAAUAUGAACACCCCAUAUUGCAUUCUAAAGAAUUGGAAUAUUAUGUGGCACCACAUGUUAAUUGAUUUUUUAAUGUUGUUAAAAAAAUAAAUAAAAAAUCAAUCAAUAUUCUACUGUAUGAUAGCUUAGUGGGAAAAAGGAAAGAAAAGAGAAAGGUAAGUCGUUACAAUUUACAACUCAUCGGGAUUGCGGUGCACGUGCACAUAAUCAGUUAAUUAUGACGUUGACACGCCACACGAGUGGAAGUGGGUAGUAUUUAUUUUUGAGACGUUUCGGGUCCCAAUAUCCACGUCAUCACCACUCACAAAGGAUAAAUUAAGGGUCUUCAUCUCAUCCCCAUUUUUAAAUGAUGGAUGGGGAAUAUGCCAAAAAUGUUAGCAAGAAGAAGUGAGAAUCAUAAAAGACAAUGUUCUAAUUAAUUAAUUAAACCAAUAUUGGGAUUUAUUAUUAUUAUUAUCUUUUCUAUAUUUUACUUUGAAAAAUAAAAAAAAUUAAUCCAAUAAAUGAAAUCGAGAUGUAAGAGUGGCAUACAAGUAUUAAACAACACCAAACACAAGUAACCAACAUACCCAAACCCCACAAAUCUUCCCCAAAUUCCUACUAAGAAAAGGAGGCCAUUCUCCAAACAGGAUAUUGAAGCAAAUUGUUAAGUUGUCGAGAUCAUAAAGAAAAUUCUAUUCAAAAACAAACUUAUAGAUAACAAUGAGAUGAAUCCAUAAAAACAGAUGAUAAUUCUACCUUUUCAACCAAAAUAAAUAAAUAAAACAAAGAUGAACUUAAAAUUAAAACUAAAUUUAAAGAAAAUUAAUUUUAAAACUUAGUAGAAAAACAAAACAAUAAUUAAAAAGUUAAAAGGACAAAAUCAAUAAGACAAAACUCUAGUCAAAUAUAAAUUCUUCAUUUAAUUCAACAGUUUAAUAAACUAGUUAUUGUUGUCGACGUCAUCCCCAGCAACCAAUCUCUCUUUACCGUUUCGAUAACUAAGGAGCAACCCGUUUGAAAUUAUUUCUCUUACCAAUAAAUAAUCUAUAAUUUUGCGCCUAGGGUUUAGCUUACCGAUAGCAUUAAGAUCAAGAGAUACCUCGUUCUCACCAAAAACACACUACGGGAUUCAUUAAAGUUAGGUCACAUGUCCACACAACAUAUAAUGCAUAUCUUUGUCAUACUCACCUAUGUAAAUAGUUACAGAUUUAAUAAUUCUAAAUUACAAGGUAAAUAUUCUAAAUAAUUGAAUACAACAUGAAUGUUCAACAAACCUUAAUAUUUGUAAUUAAACCAAAAGACAUGUAGAUACUAAAGAACAAAGAAAAAAUUAUGAAUAAUUAGCUCUUACAAAGUAUUGAAAUCAAACUUUGAAAUUCUUUUGACUAGGAAAGAGGGUUUAGUAAUUCAUAAAAUAAGAAAAACGCAAAAAUAAUAAGUUUGCAAUAAGCUAAAAGUUCAAUGCAAUCAAAAGUUGUCUAACGCUCUUAAAAACUUCCUAUUUAUAAAGUUUAUUUAACCAAAUUAGGGCUACAAUACUUGCUUAAAUUUCAAUAUUGAAAGAGACAAAAAUAACUUUGAGUCUCAAGUUAAAACGAUGGAGAAAUCCCAUGUCAUGUAAGCUUGGUGUCGCAGCUCAACAAUAGAGCCUAUGAGCUCACAGGGGUUCCGCAUUGGGGCAUGGAGUAGGGAGCUGCGGCGCACGGGUGGUUAGGGUUGGGGUGAUAGUCUGAGCUAGAUUAUGCACUCUACACCAGAGUGCGAUAUUUUAGGCUGCAGCUCACUCGUCCUCCAUCGGGCAUCAUUGGAAUAGUCUGAUUUUUCUCUUAAUAAUUCUCAAUAUUGCAUUCCAAGCUCAUAUGCACCUAAUUGAAGUCACAAAAACACUAAAAGAAUUAAUUACAAUUAACUAAUAUAAAAUCAAAUAAAAAUAGAGAAAAAUGCUAAUGUAUAUUAAACUUAUACUAAAUAAGCAAAUAAUGUUAAAACAUGGUAUUUGCUUGAAGAUCAGUAAAAGUAAAAUGAUAAGAGCCUAAAAUACAUAAAUUACGAUCACUAAUCACAAGUUUUUGAAGUGGCUAUUUAUCUGCCAAUAGAAAUGGCUAUUACGAUCAUCAUUAGAACAAAUAACUUACUUGCCAUAUUUGAAGUUGGCAAGUUUUGAAACAAAAUCUAUGGGCUAUGAUUGUUGUUGAUAUUAUAGAAGCAUUCAAGCCUAUCAAUAAUGAUCAAUCCACUUGGAGAACACAUAUUAAAAUUGGAUCAAAUCGGAUCAUACAUAUAAAAUCCCUUAGAUUAGGGAUGUUGGAUGAGGACAAACUUGGAAUACUUAUCUCCAAUAGUCCAACGUACUUUGGUAUUUAUUAUUAUAUUGUAUUAAUGCUAUUUAAGUUGCUUAGAAGAAUAGAUUAGAUUGUAAUUGAUCUCUUAAUAUGUUAGCAAGUCUCAAACUUCUUAUCCCAUGUUUUGGUUGUAGUUUAUGUAGUGCCAUCUGAAAUGCUUACUUCAAUUAUCACUUUCAUUCAACACUUUGUUUUCUAAGCAAUUGUUGGCUGUCCAUUUCAAUUAUUGGUAUUAGAGCUUCCCAUUUAAAGUAGCUAGUGGUGUAUCCUAAUGUUUUGUAAUUGCUAGAUAUGAGUAGCUUGUGUAUGUAAUUGUUGUUUUCUUAUCCCAUGUUUGCUUAUGUAUGUAUUAUUAUUUGUUUAUAACUGAUUAUGAGUAGCUAAAUCUUUGGUGGUUAGUUGUUGGAAGUGUUUUUCAGUUAGUUUUUGGUAUUGGGACUAAAUCAUAAGAAUUGGACUAAAUUGAAUAGACUUUAAAACUUAAGAUUGAUGCCCUUAAGGGAAAAUUGAGAUAAGUGAGACGAAAGGAGAUCUUAUCGGGCACCAAUUCGAUUGUCCCAGGUUAGUUUGGUGAGGUCGAGAUAUAAACUGGACUAAUUUGUCUAAUUUGGUAAAAUUGAGCCGAAAAAGUAAACUUAAACCAAUUUAGGUGUAUUAGCGAUUUAUAUCCCUAAUUCAAAGGUUAACCAACAACAUGGAAAUCAAACAACCGUUGUUUGUUUUCGUAUUUAUUAGUUUCCUAGUUUGCAUAUUUUACAAUUUAGUCCUUUUUUAUUUUUAGAUAAUUAUUUAGUUUAAUUCACUUCUAAAUUAUGCACUGCCGUAAUAUAGAAACUUGCAAUAAAUUUGGUUCACUAGAAUUGAAUAGAGUUGUAAUGGAAUAGAGUUGUAAUUAGUAAAUCAAUUGUUUGGUUGAAUAGAAUGAAAUAAAAUUGUAAUAGUAUUCUUGUGUUUGGUUGAAUGAAAUAGAUGUUGUAAUAGCAUAUGGACAAAAAUUAAACUGACUAGAAUACUCUUAGUAGAUUUUUAUUGGGUAGAUGAUUAUUGUUAUUGUUAUUAAAUUUUAAUAAUAUUAUUAUUAAAUAUAAUUUAAUAAUAAAAAUAAAUAAUUUAAUCAUAUUUUAAUAUAAUUAUUACUAAAUAUAAUUUAAUAAAAAUAAUAAUAUAUAAUUUAAUAGCAUUCUUUAUAUAUUUUAAUAUAAUUUAAAAUAAAAUAUUAAUAUAUAUUAAUAUUUUAUAUUAAAUUAAUAUUUUAUCUUAAAUUAUUUAAAAUAUAUUAUUUUUAUAUUUUCUAAGUCCAAGUUUUAAAGGACUAAUCUGAAAAUUAAUGGUGUUAAUGGUGUUGGUUGAUUUAAGUGAUGAGCAAAAUGAAGAUGUCGAGCUACCAUGACCUUCUAGGGUCAGAAAGAAUCAUCCAACUAAUGGUAUCAUUGGGGACAUCAAUGAUGGGAUUCAAAGUAGAGGAAGGUCAAGGCAAAACUAUUGAGAUAUGGUGACUUAUCUACUAUACUUUUUAGAUUGAGCCUAUACAUGUUGAAGAUGCCUUGAAUGAUGUAAAAUGGAUUCAAUGUAUGCAAAAGGAGCUUUAACAAUUUGAGAAUAAUGAAGUUUGACAACUUGUGCCUAGACCUUAUGAUUGCAACAAUAUUGGCAUAAAGUGGAUCUUCAAAAACAAAAUUGAAGAACAUGGGCACAUCAUAGAAAACAAAGUAAGACAUGUGGCCAACGGUUAUAUACAGGUUGAAAGGAUAGAUUUUGACGAGACCUUUACUCUUGUAGCAAGACUUGAAGCAAUCAGGAUACUACUUUCUAUAACUACUUAUCUUAACAUCAAACUGUAUUAGAUGGAUGUUAAAAGUGCCUUUCUAAAUGGGUAUAGAAGUUAAGCAAGUUGUUGUAUGUCUUAAACAAGCUCCUCGAGCUUGGUAUGGGAGGAUAUCUUAGUUCUUAACUAGUCAAGGCUUUUAAAAAUGGUCUAUUGACAAGACAUUGUUCAUUAGAAGACACAGAGGAACUAUCAUUCUUUCUCAAAUUUAUGUGUAUAGCAUAAUAUUUGGAGCAAUUUUAGUCAGUGCAAAAGACAUUUUUGUAAAUAUGAUGCAGAGUGAAUUUAAGAUAAGUAUGAUGGGUGAAUUGUCAUACUUUCUUGGGUUUUAGAUUAAGGAGAUCGGAUAUGGUACUUUUCUCUUGUAGAAGUAUGUGAAUAACUUAAUAAAGAAGUUUGGUACGGAGAGUUGUAAGCCUACCAGGACUCCUUUGUUUAUAAAUGAAAAAAUAAGUGCAGAUGCAACGAAAGCCCCACUUUUGAUACCACUUAUAGAAGCAUACUUGAAAGUCUGUUAUAUCUCGUUACAAGCCUGUUGGGAUCUAGUGCCCUUAGUAUAGUUUUCCUUCAUAUGUAUUUGUAAUUUUUCUGCGAAAGACAUUUUUGUAAAUAUGAUGCAGAGCGAAUUCAAGAUAAAUAUGAUGGGUGAAUUGUCAUACUUUCUUGGGUUUUAGAUUAAGGAGAUGGGAUAUGGUACUUUUCUCUUGCAGAAGAAGUAUGUGAGGAACUUAAUAAAGAAGUUUAGUAUGGAGAAUUGUAAGUUUACUAGGACUCUCUUAUCUAUAAGUGAGAAAAUAAGCGUAGAUGCAACGAGAGCCCCACUUUCGAUAUCACUUAUAGAAGUAUACUUGGAAGUUUGUUAUAUCUCGUUACAAGCCUGUUGGGAUCUAGUGCCCUUAGUAUAGUUUUCCUUCAUAUGUACUUGUAAGUUUUUUGAAAAGAUUGGUUUAAUAAAAUUCUAUCAUUUACAUUAAUAUUGUUUGUAUUUGUCCUCAAUGAUUUUUGCAAAGCAAAAUGAACAAUCAAAUAUUUGCUCAUUGAUUACCUAACAUUUAACUAAUAUUAAGUUAUAUUACGUGGUCGGAUCAUAAUGCGAGAAGACAACUUGUAUUGAUAGGUAAUAUAAAUGGUCCAUAGUUUGAUCAACUGGAAUUGAAUAAAUCGGUUCAAGGUAUAUUAUGUCGUCUACCAAGUCCAAUUGGCAGAUACAUUGUCUUGGGUAUCAGAUUGGAUGACUCCUAGAAGAUAGAGGCAUAUUUGAUUAUUUGGAUUGACGAAACAUUGGAAGGAGCCAAGUCGAAUAAACCUUAGAUCUAUUUAUGAACUUAUUCACUUGUGACAUUCACAAUGUGGCUUACCUUAAUCCUAAGUAAGUGACGGAUUGUAACAACCCGAUUUUGCACCAGUGUCGAAAAAUUUGAUUUUAGAGCUAGAUUUCUUAAAUUGAGUCAUCCUGAAAAAUUAAACCAAAAGGUUUCCGGGAUGAGAAUGAGAAUUAGGAGGAGAAUUAUUAAGUGAGUUAUUAAAAAAGCUAUUAAAAAUAGUGUAAGGAAUAAAUUGUGAGAAUUGGAAAAGUCACAUAUCAAUUGAGUAGAGAAAAUAAAUAAUGAAAUUAAUGAAAAAGGACUAGAUGAGAAAUUAAGCUAAACCCUUAAAAGCAAUUAAACCAUAAUUAAGUGGAGCUAGUAGAUAACUGUCAUCUCAUCCAUUAAUUAUCACUAACCAUUAUCAUGUUAAUUCUUAACCAUUAGAUAUAAGUUUAUUUAAUAAUAAUGAUAAUAUGAAAAUAGAUAAAAGAUGAAACAUGUUAGUGUAUUUUCAUCUUCUUCUCCAACGGCACCAAACAAAAGAAAGAAAAGAAAUUGCAUGGGUUCCAUUCUCUAUAGACAUGAGGAUCAACCACGGCGGAGCCAUGCGCUGGUAGGUUACGGCUACCUUAAAAUGGAAAAUUUUUUAUUUAGUUCUUUUACAAUUUAUAAAAUUUUAGAUUAGUUAACUUUUUUAAAAAUAAUAAAAAUUUAAUUUAAUAUUUUAAAAAUUAUAAAAAUAUAGAAUAUUAAAAUAAUAAAAUUAUAUUUUUAUUAUCUUAAAAAUAUAUAAUUUAAUUUUCACAUUAAAAAAAAUUUGUGACUCCUCGCCUGUCAUCAACCAAGGUUAAGAGGAUACGUGAAGUUUAAAAAGAUAUAAUGAAUAUAUACAUAUAGGUAGCAGGCAGGUUUUAUCAUGUUUUAGAAGCAAUCACUAGGGAAUAGGGAUUCGGCUACUAUUUUAGCAUCCACAGCUUUUUAAGCUUGAAUGGAAACAAAUUAAAAACGUCCAUGUCAUCUUACUAGUUAAAGGAUUUAUCUGGUCUACGUUUCUAAACUAAAAUUAUUAUUGCAUCAUCAAACAUGUAUUUUACUUAAUUCACAAUUUAGCUCUUUCAAGUGUCCUCCUUUUCUUUAUAUUGGUAUUUAAAUUUUUUACCUUAAAAUUUUAGAAAAAUAAGAAUAUAUAUGAAAUAAUUAAAUUUUUAAGAAUUUUUUUUUUAAAAAAAUGGGGGUAAUCCUUGGGUUACUCUUCUUCAAAUCUCUUUGAUGAGAUUUAGCAAUGCCCAAUAUUAUCAACUUUUAACAUUAAUCAAAACUGAAAUUAGAAAAAAAUAGUAAAUUAAGAAACUCGUACUAUGCAAAACCUCACUUACGAUUAAAAGAAAUACUAUAAUGAAAGUUUUUGAACCCAAGAAAAAGAAAUUUCACUGGUUCUUCAAAUUCUUCCAUUUUCCAAAUCUUUACGGCUAGAAAAACAAAAACCCAGAAAAACCCUGGAUUGAGUAUCAUGAGAAGCUGCAAAUUAGUACAAUGAGAAAGAAUAUAGCCAAUGUCAUCCGUCGUUCAUCUUUCUCAUCUUUCUAACGCAAAGCCCUGCAAAUCCAAAUCAAAGAAUUCACAAUUUAAGGUACUACAGUAUUAUCCAAAUAAGAAAACAUAUUUCCAUUCCUUCUUUUCUCUGUUUCUCAUUUUUUUCAACCCUCUAAACUCUAUAGAUCUGAGUUAAACUUUUAACGCUAAAAACCCAUUAAUUCCAUGAAAUAAUUUUUAUUUUCACGAUUGGAAAACAAUUGAUACUUUAGUUCAUAUGCAUAGAUUUGAGGAACACGAAAGAGAAGAAACCCAUAAUUUUUCUAAUUUUUAGGUUAAAAAAGUUGAAGUGUUUCAUAUGUAGUUUAUAAUUUUAGAUUUAUAUAUAUUUGUUUUUAUAAAAUAAAAUUUUAUAUAUUUUUUAUUAAAAUACCACGCGACAUUAUUUGAUUGAGCGAACAGUUUUUUUAACGUCUGUUAAUCAUUUGGACCAAAAAUCAUAAUAAAAUGAUACUUUUAAGUAUCGAUUUGGAUAAAAUAUUUUAAAUAACAAUGUGAAACAAUAAAUAUAUUUUAGAGAUUAAAUGGAGAAUGAAGCCUUACCCAACUCAAACUCAUAUUAAACAAAUAAUAUUAUUAACUUGCUUCGAAUUUUGGUUGGAAUUACCAACAUCCAUGCAUGCAUUAUUAUUAUUAUGUUUUAAAAGAAUUUUUUUCCCCACGAUUUUAGAGCGGCGCUUUGCUCCUUCAAUGUUCUGUCUCAACUUUUACAUCGAAAUUGAAUAAUCCAUCUUUUCUUUGUCUUCCCCGAAUGACAAGUGGUGCAAAUGCCAAUUUUUAUUUUUUGUUUUUUCAAGAUGAAAAUUACACUUAAUUUGUAGUGUAGGGAUUGAGGAUGGGCAAUGUUUGGUUGAUGGACAAAGACCGUGUUGGAGGAUGAUGCUAAAGUUUGUAUCCUUUCAAAGACCAGUCAAGCCGACACCCAUAUUACAUAUGGGGGCCAUUUUUACGUGUAUAUCAAUAUAUAUCAUAUUGCAGGGUUUCUUAAUUCUAAUUAUUUUGGUUUUUAUAUACUUCUCCCAAAGUUUAAAACUAACCCAAAUCUUCCAUACCCUACAGUAUCUAACAUUGUUGGUGUCCAGACAAAAAACCGUGCAUAUAUAUAAUUUGAUAAAAUUAAUUUCUUACCCCAUGGAUUAAGUCCCCAUCCAAGCUCCUUCUACGUAUAUAUAUAUUAUAUACAAUUCCAUGUGAGCUAUGUAUAACUUAUUCUAGACGUUCAAACGUCCAUUUCAAUAUCAACGAAAAUGUCGUUGCAUAUGAUGUGAUGAUUACCAAACGCAGGCAGAAAGCUUUAUUCUUCACAAGUAACUGUUUGUACACAAGUUUUAUUUUUUAUUUUUAAAGAAAAGGGUGUAAUGAAGAUGGUUCAAGUCAUUUUCGUUUUAUAAAAGUGUACUUUGAAUAGGGAGCAAGAUUUCAAAGUCCAAACCAUAAAAUAUGGGGGCCAAUUAUCUCCAGCUUAGCUUAACAGUUAGGGCAAUGAAUAUGAUUAAUCUUCAUUUUAAGAAGGUUAUAUAGCCAUUGAAAAUAAAAAUAAUAAUAAAGGUGAAAGAGAUGGUUUUGUUAUUGUAUAUAGAAGGAAAGCUUAUGGAAAGGCUUUUAUUCUUCCUUGAGUAUGGAAUGAUUGAAAUUUUUGUAGAUAUUAAAAGAAGUUAAUCAUAGGUGGAGACAACCUGGAGAAGCUAAUUAGAUUUAGUCUAAGACACAAGUUAAUUACUUAUUUGACUAGAAAAAAAAAAGGGACUCUCAUAAUGGGAAAAUCCGGUCCUACUCCUUUGCCUGAAUGUACAUGUGUGUAUAAUAGUAGUAAAGUUGUCUUUUGAAAUAAUAUUAACAAAUUAAAAAUUACGUUUAAAUGCAAAAUAGAGAUAUAUAUUUGAUAUUUUAGAUCUCCUUAAUACUUUCUUUUCCAGUAAGACUAAACAUGCAUGCCCCACUGACCCAUCAUACUAUCUUCAUUGUUUUCAUUGUAAAAAGUAGUUUUUUUUUUUUAAAUGAAAAUUUUCUGUAUUUCUUUCUUUUUAUGGAUGUUCGAGUUGGUGAAGUACAAAGAACUUUCUUCCGACCAGAAGAAAUUUAUGUUUUUCCGAUUGCUUUAUACAUAGUUUGCGGAUGAUUGUGAAUUGGGUUGGCAAAGUGUCCAAAAGUGUAGCCCUUUGACUAACAAGUGUAUAAUGAUUUAUAUAAAAUAUCCAUCUUACACCAUGUUUCAUUCCCUAACACUUCAUUGCUCUUUGUCCCGCUUUUCAUGUUAUAACAGAGAGAAAGGCAUUUCCAACCAAACAAUUCUUUCAAAUGAUAAUAAUUGAAGACUAGUCACAGAUCCCGAGUUGAAAUGAAGUAAGUGAAUUGGCGGAGGAUAAAGACAAACUACAACGCGGAAGUGACAGUAGAGAGUUUCAACCUUUCUUUUCUCGCAAUAUUAUGAACAACUAGACAGCUCCAAAAGUGUAGUCAAUUCAUCUUACUUUAUUUUUCUUUUUAAUUAUUUGUUGCUACAAAGUUUAUGCCAAUGUAGAUCCAGGAAAAUGUGUUCAUUAGUAAAAUCUUGAAUUUACUACUCAACUAAACCUUCAUUUUUAUUAUGUUUUAUACAUUUCUUUUAAUAUACACAAUUUAUUAUCUCAUCAAUUGUAUCUAUACUAUUAAUAAAAUCUCGGACUAAGUUGGAGUCACAAUUCAAUUGAAUACUAACUCACAAUUGAAAACAACACCAUGAUAAACAACUAUAGUGCAUUUACUAUUGUUAAUUUAAUGUAUUUAUGUGUUUAAAUUUCGUUUUACUCGCAAUUUAAUCUCAUUUUUUAUUUUAAUAUCGUACAUAUUUCAUGUGUUACUAUAAUUAAUUAGUUUCAAACCAUAUGUUUCAUUAUUUGUAUUUUAUUUUUAAACAUAUAUUUGUGUUCUAUAUUUGUGGUUUCUACACGUAUACACGUGUGAUAGGAUUUUUAUUUUUAUAUAGACAUUUAUAAAUUUUCAUAAUUUUAGAUGAUUUUCUAUUUUUUUUUUAAUUUUAUAAGUUUUUGUUUCCAUAUAAUAAUUUCUAUUUUUUAAUUUUUAAAAUUUUUUAAUAUUUGUUUACAUGCUACAUCAACAUAAGUUACACAUGACCAGCCAUGUGUCAUUGUCUUGUGCUCCCAUUUAAAAUGCCUAUAAUUACCUAUAACCCCUCCUCAACUCUUAAAUAAGAGGAUAAACAACUUUCAACACACUCGAGUCCAUAUCCUUUUGCAUUGACAACAAUGCCAAUGCCAACUAAGUUAAGACUCAAUCGACAAACUUAAUUGUUUUUUUUUCAAUAAGGUUUCAACAUGUGGAAAAUUUUCAGGGAGGACUUAAUUGAUUUUUUGAAGAACUAGAGCUGGACUUCUUCCCUCGUAUUUGGACCAAGUUCAAAUCCUAGAGUCAACAUUGUUGAGAGAGCUUUAUUUGAAUACCAUCUCCGGCCCGAACAAGACUAGACCCAGACCACAAAAUGGAUGAAGACACCUGUGGCUAUACAAAGAGAAGAAGAAGAUAAUUUAAAUAAUAUUCAAAUAGGUUAAUAUUAUAAUAUAUGAAAUAUCAAUUACUUUACAACAUCAUGCUUAAAAUGAACAUUUUUAAUUUUUUAAAAUACUUUUUAAUAGCAAUGCUACACAUUUUAAAAUUACUCUUUUGCUACAUUUUUUAAAAAGCAUUUUCCAGAAAAAUCUAAACUAGAUCAGUGAGGGCUGGAAGGGAAAUCGGAAAGAAGCUCAAGAAAAGGAAAGGCCAGCUUAGCUUGGAACCCAAAAAUGUUUGAGAAUUAGCUCAGUCUCGUUGUCUUUAGCUGCUAAUCCUAACAAGGGCAAUGAUGUGAACCCCGUUAUUGGCCCAUUGGUUCAGAUGUUCACCUUAAAACUCAGGUUUGGUGAGUUAUACAAUGAUGUAGAAACUCGAGUUAGUUUGAUUUUGAUCUGAUCGGACAUGGUGAAAGUUAUAGACUCCAAAAAUAUUUUAUAUCAUAUUUAAAUUAUAUCGUGUUCAAUAUUGAAUAAACGUUAGGAGUAUCAAUGGGUGGUGGUUUUACUUUACCUUGGAUGCUAGAAGCCACCCUAGGGUUAGCCCAAGGGGUAAAUAAUACCGCCAGUUCUUGCUCAGCCAUACCUUUUUUAGAGGUAGGUAAUGGUGGGGAAGCCUGUGAUCAUUAUUAUUAAGGGGAAUUUUUAUUCUUUAGGUUAAGAAAUUCCCAUGCUAAUCUUGAAUUCUUGCUUUAGCUAAAAGCAACAACAGUAGUAUAAUAGGAUGGAUAUCUCUCAACUUCACUUCAAGCAGAAAAGGGGCAAGGCUUUUUGCUUAAUACUAUAAUAUGAACUCCUCUGGAUCCCAACAUACAUACUAUUUGACAAUUUACAGAACAUAAAAGACGUUCAAACUUUUGAGUAUGGUUCUAUCUGAAAAUACGUUCAUCAUGAGAGAUAAGAAAACCUUUACUCUGGUCUGAUUUUAAGCUUGCUUGAGAGCACUAUCCCCAGGAAAUGUACACCUGGAUGUCUCUUCCAACUACUGAAAUAUUCCUGACCAUUGUUAUUGCUGCUUUCAGCAUGAUUCUCUACAUUCCUCUUCAAAUAGUACAGUCCCGAGGACGCAUAUACCCUCCAGCACUGUAUCAGUGCCUUCCACUGUUCAAAGAACUGCAACGUACUUUGUUUACAACUUAGAGGCUGCAGGGGGCCAAAGUUGAUUCCUUCUUUAUGGGCACAAUCUGUUCAUAUAGAUAAAAAUAUCACUAAUAAGUAAGCAAAGGCAGUUGUAACUGUAUAAUAAAUGUAAAUUGUGCAAGUUCAGACCAAACACUCUUUUGGCCUAAAUUUAUUACACAGCAUGCCAUAAGAUGCCGUUUAAUGCAUACUUACAAAGCAGUAGUUUAGCUUCAAUCAUGUCCAUGAGCCAAUACUAAAAUUUGUUCUUAAAAUACAUUAGAACUUAGCAUUGUACAGAAGAGCCAACAAGUUUUGCAUUAGUGAUCAAAUCAACUACAGUUUUCUAGACUGCCUUCUCCACGAUACUCGAACUGUCGAGACAGAGGAAUGCAAUUAAAUCCCUGAUGAUACUAAAUUUCGGUGCAUGUAUAGAUCCCGGCUUGAGAAACCAGAACAACUUUAUGUGACAAAAACAGACACCUCUAUACAAUAUAUCUAACAAUAUAUAUAUAUAAGAUCAGUAGCUUGAUUCAGGUUAUUUAUCCAUCUCCUUGAGCUACAGUGUUACAUUCAUGCACACAGAAUAAACAAUUUCUUGAAGAACAGAAAAAUUUCUAGGAACAAACGGGAUAAGUUUGCCCCAUAACUUAUUCCAACAUAACGAGUAUAACAGCUUUGAGAACAUGAAAGUGCCCAACCUUACCGACAUCAGAAACUUUUCACUACAAACACAUGUUAACAGCAUUUUUGGUUAAGAAUACUGAAAUGGAUAAAUCCAUAUAUUCCCUUGCUUAGAAAUCAUAGUUCUCCAAAAUUGGAAAUAAAAGAAAUGAAAAUAUCAUUUUAAUUUUUGAGGCUCUCCAAGUAUAUGCAUCAAGUCAUGAACAUAAAGAAGACAAUGAAUUACCUCAUUGCUCUCCAUGAACAUAAAGAACAUAGUCCCACUAAUCCCUCAGCUGGCUCAGCCAGCUUCCAAGAGAACUUCAAAUUGCAAAGAACCAAAUCCCUUUCUUCUCAUGUAAAAGUUUUAUACCCCUCGCUUGAUGCAGGAGCCUUUCUUUGCUUUUCCAGUUCUCUCUGUGGGUUUCUUCCCCCUUUUUUUUUUUCUUUUUUAUUUCCCUGAUAAGGGAUCACCGUUCACACUACUGAAAAGUAUUGUACGGCAACGCUGUUCACAAAUAUUGCAGCAAAUUUUACUUGUAAGAGUUCUUUUAUGUCUUUAACAUAUUUUAAACAAAUGACAUUAUUGCAUCUUUUUUUUAUAUUUUAACCUUUUAAGGGAGAGAUUUGAUUCUUAUUAGUAAGUAAUAUUUACUUGAGCAGGAAAAUUUAUAAGUUAAUUAGAUAAUAUUUACUUGCUUACUAAUCUUUUAGAAGAAUUUCAUUCCUCGACCUUGCAAGAGAUGCUGCACUUAGACUAGGUACAACGUGAUAUUGUAUGAAAGAAAAAAACAUAAAGCAUAAAACCAAGCAAAAGAUAAAAAGAUAAACAGGGAAACAGGGAAACCCCAAGUUAAUAGAAGGAAAUAUUCCAAAUAAAUAAGCUUGUUCACUGUUCAAGUAGAUGAAUCAGGCUUACUUGCAUUACGAUUGUCGUAACAAAACCAGAACACCUUUCAGCAAGUUAUUUGGAAACGCAAGUUGGAGUAGACUGUGAAAUUACAGUAGAGACAAUGUUGAGGCUAAACCCUCGCUCCAUUUUUUACUUCUCAUGAGGAAUUAUCAAGAAGCUAAUGCAGCUCGAAGAGAAUGCUCCGCCAACCUUAACCUAAAUCCCAGUAAAUGAGUGAGGCUCGCAACAAACACAAAAAAAAAACUCAGCGUUUAUAAUUAGUAAGCAUACAAGAAAGUGAAUAGAAGCAAUGCACAUCUACGGGGCAUUGGGGAUCCGGAGAAGCCUAAAACAGAACUGUGAAAUAUUGCAAAACAGAGAGAAUAAAGUAAUAAUCACCUCAUAUUCCUUCAAGCACUUUCAUAUCUUCCUAUUUCAUGGUUAAGAAACCAACCAGCAGCUUCAGCCAUGCCAAAGUGACCUCUCCUUCACUUGAUGAAGCAGUAUCAGUAAUGAAGUCGUAUGAGUUCCACGGAAUCCAACUAUUACAUUCGAGGAUCAUUUUCUAUUAUAAUAUACAGGUCUUAUCACAGUAUAGUUCUUCACAAAAUUCAAAAUCUUGCUUUCUUUAAGCAUGCUGGUACUAGUAAAGAUGGCAGCAUUAUUCUUACAACACGCUUUCGGUAAUUCAAAAUGGUAUAUUAGAUCUUGAACCUACCGCCCACCCCCCAAAAAAAAAAAGUCUUUGUGGAGGCAUUUAAUACAAGGUUCAGCAAUAAAGAAUGAAUUUUUACUCUGUUGCCACCAAAACUGAACAAAAAGUUUAGAUUUUUACCAACAGUUUCGGUUUUAAAUAAAAACCCAGACAGAAAUUGCAUUAAAAAUAGGCAAAGGGUUAAAAUUCUAAGUUGAUAGUUAUUGAUGGAGAAGGAUUAAAAUAAGAGCUGAUGUAAAAUACUUACAUAGAUAGCGCAAGAAGUUUCAGGCGAAUUGUUUAGUCAUCGCAGAGAGAGCCAAAUAGACUCGGAAGUAAUAAGAUAUAAACGGUGGUUGUCAUUUCUCAAGGAGCUUGACAGGUGGCGCUUGGUCAUGCUCCAUGACGGCAAACACUGUAGCAGGGCUGUAGAGGUGAGGGUUAUGCAGGUAUGUGGGCUUGGGCCGUAUAUCGAAGGCUGAAAGAAAGCUUCUAGGCCUGGAACUAAGUCAACAGACUCAUAUAUUAGGGUUUCAAGUUUUAGCUCACUACCUAUAAAUUCUUCUUUGUUGCUCACUACUCUUUCGAGCUCAAAUUACU